rnacentral:lncRNA from 1 species
GUUUUUUUUUACUUAAAAAUGUAAUAUAAAAUUUAAAUCACUUAUUUACUAAAAACUUUUUAAUUUAAAAGAGUGAUAUAAAACUUAAUAAAAUGAAUUUUAAAAAAGUUUGAAAUUUAAACACAAAAUCUAAUGUAAUUUUAUGGAAUCUUAACUAACAUAAUUAUAAAAAGGUUAUUAAAAAGGACUUCUUCCAUGUCCCUAAGUCUAACAUUUUUGCUUUGUUUGGAUGAAUUUUAUAGUGGGUAAUUAAUGUAUGAUAAUGACAUAAAAUAAUAAUAAUAAAAUUAUAUAAUUUUUGAGAAAAUUAUAUAUUAAUGUAUGAUAAUAAUAAUUAUUUUAUUUAAAUUGAUAGAAUAAUAUGGUUGUACAUUCAGUCAAUAAUUUAUUUCUAUUUUAUUAUAUAUAAUAUUAAAUAAAAAAAAUAAAAUAUAAAAAUAAUUUAAUAAAAAAAUUAUUUAAAAAUAUAAUUAAAUUUAUAUUUAAAUAAAUAAUUAUUAUAUUUAAUAAUAUAUAAUUAUUAUUUAUAUAUUAAAAAUAAAUACUUAAAAUUAUAUAUUAUUAUAUUAAAUUUAAAAAAUAAAAAAUAAAAAAAUGGUUCAAAUAAUUAUUUAGCAUGAACUAAUUUUUAAAAUAUAUUUAUUUAUUACUCAAACAAUUAAAAGAAAUGAAAUUUUUUUUGGCUAAAACAAAAAUUGAUAAAAUUUAACGAAAGUAUAUUUGAAAUAAAAAUAUGAGUCUAACAAAAAUUAUUAAAUUAAUAAUUUUAAAAAUUUAUUUUUGAAUAUUACGAAACACUCUCAAAUAAUCAUACUAUCAAAAAAUAAAUAAUAUUUUAUUAUCUUAACUAUAUAUCUUAUAUUAAUUAAUUAUCAUAAAAUACCACCGUACAAAUAAAUUAUUUAUAUUUAAUUAAUAUUAAUCGUAAUAUAAAUGCCAUUUAAUUAACUUAUAAGGACAACGUGCUUUAUGUGGGUGACAUGACUAUGAAAAGAGUAGGCUAAUGAUUAUUAAAGUUUAUUGCACCUUAUAAAGUUUAGCUUUUUUGGUUUAUAAUUGUAUUAUAACUAAAUAGUACAUAUAUAUAUAUAUAUAUAUACACACACCUGAUUUUUAUAAAAGAGUAAUAUUUAAUCAUCAUACCCAGAUUUAUAAAUCAUAUUUUUUUAGGGUUACCCUAAUGUAAUAUUACUUGUAAAACAUGAACCUGAAUACAAACACAACUCAAACUCAUAUACGGUUUAUUUUAUGAAAAUUAUUUACUAUUCUAUUGAAUCCAUUAGCUACAAGCUGAAAAUAAUAUAAAAUUUAAUUUCAAUUAAUGUGGGUGUAAAUAAUUUCAUAUUAUACAUGAAAUUUCAUAUUAUUGGGAAUAUUCAACAUUAAAUCCGCCAAUUUUGCUGCUGAGGGAGCAACUCCAUUUUUUUAACCUUGAAUCGAUCAAAAUAUAUAUGCGGAAUUUCUUACUUUUCGUGAGAGAUUCGAUCUUGUAACCUAACCGGUGGUACGUGACUGACCGAUGUUAUACACCAUUGUUUAACUACUGUAAUUCUUUUCCUGGUACCAGGUCACAUGUAUGUAUAGGAAGGACCAACUGGGUAUUGGCAAUCCGAAGCAAGUUUUCAAAGAAAUAUGCAGUUAAGCAUAAACAGUAAACUGGGAAGAUCAUUAGAGGAAAAGAGAGAAAGAUUCAAGAUUCAUAAUGUGAUUAUUAAAGAAAUGAGGGAUUUACAUGAAAAAUUUUUGAUGGUUCCUCUGUGAUUAUCAAGUUUCAAGUUUUAUUUAAAAUAAAAUUUACAUAUAUUAUAAUACAUGUACUUUAAAGAGAAAGGAAAAAACUUUUACUCACUUUUGCUCCUGAUCAGAAAAACCAAAAAACUUAAAAGCUGAAAAGAAACCAUUGAGAUUAUUCGUAUUAAUUUCACACACAUAUAUGUAUAUAUAUAUAUAUAUAUAUAUGAUAUAUACUUAUGUGUAAAUUAUAUGUAUGGGUCAAAAUAUUCUAGUUACAAAUCAAGACACCCAAACCUUUAAAAAAGACAUCAACUUUAACCGCACCAGAUUAAACAGAAUCAAACAGAUAAUGAUACAAUAUAACACAUAUACCAUUACAAAUAUGCAGGUAUAUACCAAUCAAGCUUCAACCAAUCAAUAGCCUUUUUUUUUCUUCUUCGAUUUCUUGGUUUGGAGUAGUGACAGAGAAGCUAAGCUGCUGCUGAUAAGGAUAAGUUAGUGAAAUCAAAAACUCAAAUACUAGUGGAGCAGUGAGUUGCUUGUCUCGAGCUGAGUGGACCAGAGAUCGGAGGAGCCGGUUCAAGAACCACCACGGCAACACAGUUUACAUUAAACAGGUACCGGCCGGAAACCCAAGUCCCAACUUUCCACCGGAGCUUACCGUUGACCUUGAGAUUAAGAGUAAGUUUCCCGGCGGUCUGAUCCCGACCCACCUCGUAGCCAAACGAGGGAGCCACCGGGAGGCCUGUGCCGACGAGUGACGCAGUUAACAAGUUGGUAUCUUCAUGGUCUUGGUAGAAAGGAGGAAGCGAGGUCUCGACGGUGAUCUGCUGACCUUUGUAAGCGGCGUAAGCUUGGAGCUGGUCGUAGUAAACACCCACUUUUUUGUUAGGGUUUUUGGAUAGGAGAGUGAGUUGGAUGGAGGAGUUGAGAAGGUGGGAAGGGGAGGAGAUGAGAUUGAGUUGGUAUAUGUCGAGUUGUUUGAGUGAGAACUGGGGUUUUGCAGGGUGGAGGAUGAGCCAGAGGAGGAGGAUGAGUAAGAGGAGGAGGGAAAGAGAUGAGGAGAAAGCAAAGAAGAGCUUCUUGUAACGCUUGUUAAUGGUGAUAAGUCCUUGUUUGUCAGCACAGUGUUUGGGAGACGGUGUGAAGAUUUGAGACAUUUGCAGAGAUUUGAUGAGGAAGAAGGAAGUUCAGAAUGGUAAGGAAGAUGGAGUGAGGUGAGGGAGUUAUAAAGGGGAUGGGAAGUGGAAGGAAAGCCGAGAAUAAUAAUUGUUUUUCUCUCUGCAACAUGCUUUUGACUGGCUGCUGGUGGGAGAUGAUCAUGGAGUAGCCUUUAAAUCAAGGGUGAAUAGAGUGAUUGAAAGUGAAUCUCAGUCGUUGGAUGAGUAGACCAUGCUCCACAUUUCAGCCAUCUGAUGAGCUUAUCAGGGUUGUCUCAAAGGUGGGUGUUGUUUGCAUUUGUGAAUGUGAAUUGCUAAUGAAGCGUAUGUAUAUGUAUAUGAAGUUAGUCUCAUGUACGUAAAAGUAGUCAAUAAUUCAUGGGUCCCAAAUUUACUCUUUCAGGUUUCUGAAUCAUAAUCAAUCUCUGCAUGUCCCCUGUGCUAAUCCUACAACUCAUGCAACACAUAUUAUUAUAACAAAUACAUACAUACAUACAUACAUACAUAUGUAUAGGUGUGUAUAUGUGUUGUGUAUUAUUGGUUUAGGUUUUUAAGUGAAAAAGAAAAGAAGGUGGAAGCACCCCAAUAUAUGAAUGAUAUUGGAGAUGCAGGGGAUACCUUUUUUAUCCAAAAUCUUAUGUUGAAGUCCCUUUUUAUAUAAUUCAAAGGCUUAUUCAAUUUGAGAAAAAUAAGACUUCAUGCAUAAGCUCAUAAUAUAUUUAAUUCGAAACUCACAAUAUCUUAAAAUUACUUAGUUUGUUGAUUAUUAGUAUUAAUUUAUAAUGGUGUUAGGAAAUUAUUGGUAUGCUUGAUUAAUUGGGUUGAUUAAGUGUGCCCGAACAAAAGAGAGUUGAAAAAAGGUAAGGCACAGAGAAUCUGUAAAUUGGCUUUUUUGGAAGCGCCGGGAAAGCAUUUCCCACUGAUUUUAUAUUGGCCUCAUGCGUCUUAUGUUUUUCUCCUUUUCUUCUAACUUAAGGAAAAACGUGUACAUGAUAACUCACGUGAGCCCUUCUAUCCCAGCCGUGUGAUCAGACUCUUGAUGGGUCUUGAUCAUUUGAUGUUUGCCAUGUGGACAGAUGAAUUGCUGGUAGUGUUAUAUACGAUGAGGAACCUUCUGGUUGAUAAAACUAUGGGGACCCGCUUGAUCAGGAUAUUAUAUAUUACAAUUACAAUAUUGGUGGCAUAAUUGACGUUUGAAAAACAGGGGAAAGGAGUUUAGGUUCUGCCUUUUGAAUUGAAUUUAAAUUUUUUAUUUGGGUUAUUGAGGCCUUCAAUUUCAAUCCCAGGGAAGGAAAGCCACUGGGAUGACCCCAUGAGCUUAAUGAUUUCUCAUCUGAUCAGCUUUAAAGUUUACUUUUGAUUUGAACAUGAGAGAAAAGAUUAUCUGCUUUUUAAUUUCAUUGAUUGCUUGUUUUUUUAAUCAAUUGCUAAUUGAAUAAUGGAGUUGAUGACAGUGGUUCUGAUUUCUUGGAAGAUGGAGUUACAGCAUCUGUAGAUAAAAAGGGUUUUUCAUCAGACUCUGAUUUCUUCACUGCAAGAUUAUGAUUUAUAAUAGGUGGCAGCGUUCUGUCAAUCAUAUUUGUUUUCAAGUCUUUGGAAUUUUUCUACAUUCACUCGCUAUCAGAUGAUUCUGCUAAUGAACACCAAAACCACAUUGAAAAUCUAAACCAUGUUCUUAAACUUCCAAAUUACCUAUUAAACCCAAGAAGAAGCUUCAUAGAAGGUAAAAUUAAAAUAAUUUCGGAGCAAUCCGCCUAAAGACAAAUUCCUUUGUCAUACUUUGGCUGGCUAUAUACCCGGUUUUUAUGUUGCUCAAUAUUAGAAUAAACAAAUUUACAUGUUAACAAGCAAAAAGAAUAAUCAGGCAAUCGAGUCAUGUAAAAAUACAUAUAGCAUAACUAGCAUGUUAUAGCGAUAUUUUACAAUACCUAAAUGGUAAUUCCCUUAUGAAUAUCGAGAAACAAGUCGGGUUUGUAGGUUGUGUUAGAGAAAAGCAUUUACCAACUUUGAUCCAACUCUGCUUCAUUGCUUCUGAAUCUGGAGAAAACGAGGCUGGAGUGAUCCAACUCAUUGUUCUGUAGGUUCUUUUCAUUCUAUUUUCGUAAAAUGGAGUAGCUAGCCACUAGAUGAAUUGCCAUAGUGAUUUUCUGCUGUUGAAGGUGCAUGUUCCGGGUGCACUUGUCGAACAAAUUGUCCUUUUACUCUAGGUCGCUGCUCAGCAAGCUUUUUCCUACUUUCGUACCGAACCUGUGAAUCAAAAUUCACAAAAAAAGCUUGUCACUUUGCAUGCUAAUUUCCAAACAGACAGUAGAGUUACAGUUUAUCACACGGGAUUUUACUUGCUAUGGUCAUUAGCAAUUUACCUUUUUCUCAAAGCAUCUAUCUUUUCGCUUUAGACGAAACUUGGUAAGAGCUGCUUCCCUUUGGAGGGAGCGUUGUGAGUUUCUCGUGGGAGAGAAAUAACUGUCUUCGUUCUUGCUCUCUGGACCUUCUCUGAUAAGGGAAACCUGAUCAACAUUGACAUUACUUCCACAUGCACUGGCAUAGCCGUUAAGAUGGCUUAUGGCACCGUUGCAGAAACUGCUAGUUCCACUCUGAACCGUGGCGGGAGAAAUAUGUCCUCGAUCCUCCAAAGAUUCCAAUUUGUUGUACAUAAAUUGGUUGGCUGAAUUUACAUUUUGACCCAUUCCAUCAUACAAAUACAUCUGUUCACAUUUACUGUUUCCAAAACCAGGCCAACAAAAUGUAUUUGCUCGAGAGGUGAGUUCUGGCUGGCUGGCUGAACUAGGGCUCAGUGUUGGUGACGGAGUUGAUUGUCUUCCAAAUAUUGGAGGAAUCCCAGAACCAUAGCCUGUGUUUGGACUAUUAACUUUGAUGCUUUUUACAGGAAUGGGGACAGGAAAAACUCUCUGUUGAGGCCAUGAAGUUGUGGCAUGUUCAGAUUGUUUAGAUUGACAAUCAGAUUGCCAAAUAGUCAGAGAGGUUCGGGUACUUGGUGGACCAGGAGCAUUGCAAUUAAACCCACCAACAAGAUCAGAUAAAUUCUUCUCAUAAAUAUUUCCCGAUUCUUUCCUUUGAUUAGAAACACUUGGCGAAGUAGAAGACUCGGGCUGUUUGACUCUGCUAGCAUACCUGCAUUAAGGAUCCUUUCAUGGAUUAGCAAUAAUCCAGUAAUGUUAAAAUUCCAUUGACAAGUUCCAUGGAUUGCAACUCUUCUUUUUAUUCCUAUCAUGUAGCUUCUAAAGAGUAGCUUUGCUCAAUUAUAGACUAGAAAGAGAAUCUAACCUUGUGAAAGCCGAGGCAUUGGAAUGCCAAAGGAUAGGCUUUUCCCCGGAGAUUUGAUCCUCAGAGCCACUUGGAUGAUAUCAUCUCAAGGAGAGAUCCAAAAGGUGUGGCAACUCAAACUUGUUCAUGCCAUUAUUUGAAGAAGAUUUGUGAGUACUAAAUUGCCCCAUGAAGUCAAUGGCUUCUUUUGAGGAGCUGGCGAAGCCAUUACAAGCCUCAUGUUUGCUGUUAGCAUCCCUCCCUUGACUUUCUGGCCCAACAUCUUCAUUUGCAGAUGCUUUAAUCACUUCCUCGCAGGCACCAGCCAACGACCCUACUUCAAUUAAAGCAUAAAGUUGAAUGCUUUUAUAUUGAAAGAUAGAGAAUAUGAUACUAUACUAGCAAUCUGAAAUAAGCUACCUCCAGCCUCAUUCUCAUUUACAGGCAGUGUUGUGCAGAAAUCAGGAUAAUCUUUCUGCUGCUGCAUUUCUGUAUCGUUUGGUAAAGAUUUACUCCAAUUCAGCCGUGAAAAUUCCUGCAUAUUGUCUGUGUUCUCACCCUCAGCUUCCGCAUCUGGUUUCGUACAAGAACUCUGCAAGAGACAGCAAACAUGCAGUCUCUAGAUAAAACUUCAUGUAGCCAAUCUAAACUGAAAGGAAGUUCCUGCUAAUCAAUGAGCCACCUCAUAAAUUCUAAUCAAUGAGCCACCUCAUAAAUUCAUACAUACAUGCCCUGGAGAUCACACACAUUUUCCCGUAACUGUUGUGGUAUAUCCCAUACAAAAUGUACAUACUUGCGAGGCCAUCAGCUCAAUUUAAUAAACCAAUAUUACAUUAUUUAAAAAGUUUCAUGAACAGAAGAAUUAAAAGUCUUUGAUCAACUGUGAAUUCCAUAUGUAAGUCAUUCAAACAGACAAGUCCAUCAUAAAUAACUUCUCAACGCGUUCAAUUUACGAUAGUAAUUCCUUUCCUUUUUAUUUUCCACGAAUAUAACUAUAAAUCAAGCCCCAACAUAGCAAGCUGGAAUUAGAUACAUAAAACUGCAAUUUACAAGCGAGAGGCUUUACAGAUAUUGGAAAACUGCAAAUCCGAAACCUAGAUACCUUUAUUCACUCCUUAUAUAAAUUAAAAUUAAACUCACCUGAGCAUCACUCCCUUUCUCAAUUUGCUCCUUGUUUCUCUGAAUACAAGCCAAGAACCCACUUGACUGAUUACUUGCAGCAUUAUUUUCAGAAGUAGCUUCUAGCUUUUCCUGUCCAACGCUCUCAUCUUGGGGGCCACUUCCACCAACUAUUGACUGAUGAAAAUUUUAGAAAACACAGUUAAUGGACAGCUAUGAUCUGCAACGGACAGAGAGCUUUUUCAAACAGAGAGACAGACAGGGAGUGGAACUAUACAUAUGCAUCUUCUUCAUAAAUUUCUUAGCUUCCUUCUCCAUAUGACUUACCAAGAUGCAUAUAUACACGCAAAUAGGCACACAAUAAACAUGAAAAAGCUUUUUGUACAUAUACAUACAGAUACAGAGUGAGAUAGAUUAGGAAGUGUAACUAGACAUACAGCUUGUCUUCUCCAAACAUGCUGCCAUAAAUUUCUCAGCUCAUUUCUCCUUAUAGGCUUAACAAGAUAAUCAGCGGCACCUCUCAACAUGCAUUUAUAUACUGUACUAACUGAAUCCUGUGAGGACAUCACUGCAAAUUUACAACAGGAAGAAAAACAAUUAGGUUAUCCUAGGAAGGAAGAUCAAGUUUAGUAAAAUAAACGUGGAAAUCAUGAUUCCCCAUGUCAUACUUAUAACAGGAAUGCUUUUGCAAAUCUCGUGCUCCAUAAUUAGCGAAAGAAGGGCGUAUCCGGAUAUUGAUGGCAAAUCAACUUCUGUCAGUAUAAGAUCUACAUUAUGAGGUCUUCCCUUCAGCAUCUCCCAUGCCUUCAAGCCAUCAGGCACAGCAGCAACUGCUCAAACAGCACAAAAGUACCUUAUCAGCUUUCGAAUGAAAUUCGUUAAAUUUCAGCCUCAGGAGCAAGCAAUAGACAUAAUUACAUAAGGUAAAAACGGUAUGCUUUUGCAAUUUUUAAAAGACAGCUUAAUCAUUCAAAUUUAGAUUUUAAUUACAAAAGGUAAAAAGGGUCUGCUUUUUAUAUAAGGUAUUUAACCAGUUGAUGAUCCACAAGACAGAAGGAAAUGCAAACUGGAAAAGAAAAAAGAAAGGAAAUCAAACCAAAUUCUGAACAUCACACAACUAACCCAACAAAGGAAAUGAGCAGAAAAUAGAAAAGAGACCAUAAUUUACUAUUCGUCAAAUUUUUAACCUCUAAAAUCAAACUCCUAUGAAAUCCAAGAAAGACACAAACUUUUUUUUUUAUACAACCAAGAAAGACAGAAACUUGAGACUCAGAAACUUCUGCAACCAAACAAGACUCUUCUAUUCUCCAACCAACUGAAUUACCAAAUACACAUAAAUCAUAAACGAUAUGAAACAAUUACGAAGAACCCAUUUCUUCAGACGAAAAACCCGGAGAGGUAAGGAUCGUGAUAAGCUAAACAAAGCCCAGGCAAACCCCUAUGUCGAGCAAUUCUAUAAUCGAAGGAAAAGGGGAAUGAAUUGCAGUAAAUCGAGACAUACUGACCUCUGUAACUGCAUUUUCUAAGCAGAGCAGCAAUUAUUUGUCUGGUGGAAUCAUCAGCUUCAACGAGCAAUACCCUCAGUACCAUCCUGGGCAAGAAUUUCUCCCACUUCACCAAUCCGUCCUUCUUGCUCUUCCGUUCUCCGCCGCCGUUCUCCACCGCCUUCUCCUCUCUCUUGCUGCCAAACUUCACCUCCACCUCCUCACUGCUCACCACCACCUCACCCAUCUCGCUCAGCUGACUCUCUCUGCACCACUAAACCCAAGAACAAUCAAUAAUAAAAUUUGUUAAUUUUUUUUGUGUGCUUAACUUGCUUUUUGUUUCCCUGAAAAGCAAAGCUGGAGAAAAAAGCAAAAAAAUCUUUCACUCAGCCAUCCUCCGCUCAAACCUAAACCGGUCUACCUCAUCAAAAUAAAAAUAUCUAAAAAGGCCAUUCCGGAUUAAUCCGACGGCUCAGCACCCGAGUUAACUUCAAACCGACUCUGAUCCAACGGUAAGAAAUAUCUGAAGCUACAGAGGCAGCAAAAAUAUCUGGAGGUCUCUGCAGUUAGGCCCAUUAAGCCACGUCAGCAAAAAGCAGCCAUGGAUAGUGCGUUGGUUCGUGGAGAUUUUGGUGGUGUAGAUUACACGCCCACAGACAGCCUCCGCAUUUCGGAUAUUUUAACGUGGGGACACCUGGCUGUUAGUGGGCCCCACUUGAAGAAGAUAUUUUCAUGGGUGCUCUGAGGAGACAACGUGUUUCAUGGAUGUCGUAACGACACGUGUCGCAUUAAGAGAGGGUGGGUUCGGCUUGUGGUUUUGAAGUUAUCAAACGCUAUCUUCUUCAUUUUUCUUCUGGUUUCUUCCUUUCCCCCGGCCCACUCGCUUCUUCUCUACUCGCCAUUUGAUUGGAUAGCUGCCGAAUGGGAACGCAUGAUUGGCUGCUCGUAAUAUUGAUUUACCAAAAUACCCUUGACGGUGAUUUUGAAAUAUAAACGGUCAAUUGGUCAUGUUCAUUGGUGGUGAUUGCAUGAUUUUUAAACCUUACACCUGGCGGCGUCACGAGACGUGGGGGGAAAUUUUUGUAAUAAAAUAAACAAUAUGAGGUGAAAUUAUAAUUUCACUAAAAAAAAUCUAAAAAUAGAUAUUUUGGCGAUAUUUUGUGGAAAUAGCGGAAAAGACUCGGAUGAAGAGAUUUAUGUCUGCAACAACCAGAGGACACUGGUCACUGGUGCAAUAUGGGAGAAAUGGAAUUGGAGAAGACGACAGAUAGUGGGGACCAUCUUCAUUCUUCUGCUCUCUCACGUGUUCUUAUCCAUUUUCUCUCUAUCUUUUUCUCUUUCUGCUGAAUCAAUCCACUGAGAACCAAAACCCCAAUUUCCCCCCUUUUUCUUGUUCACUUUCUCUUCAAUUUUCCACCAUCCAACCACUCCAUUAUUUGACCAACUAGCUCGUACUCUCCACUGUCAAUGGCUACUCUGCUAGCUUCUUCGAAAACCAACUUUCACCACCACAGCCAUCUUCCAACACCACCGUCAUCCUCAUCGCCUCCGUGUUCAUCUUCAUCCAUGUCCAUGAUGGGUACCGCAAACCCUCAAAUUUCGGGUUUAUUGCAUCUGAAAUCUAGUUUCUUGAACCCGUUGAGUAAGAAUCUGAGCCAUGUCGAACUGGGUUCCUGUAAAAACGGUCGCAGCAAAUCGUUUGUGGUCCGGAUGUCAUGGGAUGGUCCGCUUUCUUCCGUCAAAUUGAUCAUUCAAGGCAAAAAUCUUGAGGUUUUUCUCUUUAACCUUUCACCCUUUUCUUCUGAAGGAUUCCGAAUUAGGGAAAGAAAUGUGAACUUUAGGUCAUUUUGCUUAUUGUUCACUGAGGUUUAAAAGGGGUUUAACCGUGUUGUUAGAAUUGGUACUUUACCAAAAUUCUGGGACAACAAUGUUGUUGUUGGAUUUUUCUCUAAUUUUCAAGAGCUGUUUGAUAGUUUUUGUUUAGAUUGCUGUAACAAAAUUCCUGAAACAACAAUGGGGAGCUUGAGUUAUAUUUAACCAUUUAUUUCAAACUGAAACUGAGAUAAAAAAGAACAACUUUCUUUGCUGUCGAGCAGUUAACAGAUACUGUAAAAAGUCAUGUUGAAGAGAAGGUCGGAAAGGCUGUUCAGAAACACAGUCAUCUUGUGCGGGAGGUUGAUGUUAGGUUAUCUGUUCGAGGUGGAGAAUUUGGGAAGGGUCCCAGGAUCCGGAGAUGUGAGGUGCUUUUUUCUAUUCACUGUUGAACUUUCAUGGAGUAGUGGGGAAAUAGAUUUGUUCUUUUGGUUUGAUGCCUGAUUGUUAUUGUGUUUGUGAUUGGUGAAUCCUUCAGGUGACUUUGUUUACCAAGAAACAUGGAGUUGUUCGUGCAGAAGAAGAUGCUGAAACAGUAUAUGGGAGUAUUGACUUAGUAUCGUCGAUUAUACAGAGGAAGUUGAGGAAGAUUAAGGAGAAGGAAUCUGAUCAUGGGCGCCACAUGAAGGGUUUUAACAGAUUGAAAAUUAGGGAGCCUGCACCACAGGUAGUUGAUGGUGAUGAAGAUGCAGCACCUCAACAAGAGGAGGAGGAGAAGGAGGAGGAGAACUUUAUUGAUGAGGUUGAGCCUAUUCAAUCCUUUCCUUCACUUUACUUGAAAUAAGUACUUAGAUAUCUUGUUUGAUUUUCAUAUAUGAAAAUAAGAAUUGCAUUCUUGUCAUUACCACCAUUUCGGGUUUAAUCAACAUUUGAUGUUUCUGCGUAUAUCGAGUAUAGAUGCCAUAGGAAAGAAAGAAAGAAAAUGAGCCAGAUGAGUUCUCGAACCAUGCUAACCUUCAGAACUUGUGUUUCAGAUUGUACGGACAAAAUACUUUGAGAUGCCACCUCUGACUGUCUCUGAAGCAAUUGAGCAACUGGAAAAUGUUGACCAUGACUUCUAUGGUUUCAGAAAUGAAGAGACCGGUAUGUCAUGAUUCACUUCCUGUACGUUCGUGUAUUCCUCCAGCAUUCUUUUCCAACUAAAUUAUGAAAUUGUUCUUUGCUUUGUUUCAGGGGAAGUGAAUAUUGUGUACAAAAGAAAAUCAGGUGGAUAUGGUCUGAUCAUACCCAAAGGUAAUGACAGAGCUGAGACACUAGAGCCUGUGCUUGUAGAGCCGGUAAAAGAACCCUCUUUGGCCGAAUAAUAGAAAGGAAGAUCCUGUUUUGAGAAUUGAGAUGGCUGCAAUCUAUGUUUCCAAUCAAUCAUCUAUAGAUUUCUGAUGGCAGCAGUGUACAUUAAGGCUGAUGUAUGUGAAUCUAUGAUGAAGCCCUCUAUGGGGAAUGAGAUCAACCAACUUCUAAAAUGUAUGAACGUAUAAUUGAUGCUUCUUGUGAAGAUUAGAUACACAUAUGAUAAUCUAUAAAAGAUGAGAGAAAACAUUUUGAAGUAUAUUUAGAAUCUAUAGGUAAGUUGAUAUGUGCAGCUUUCCCCUGUCUAGGCAAGUUUCUGCUGGCUUUCUUUUCCGUGUCUCAGUUGAUGGUUUCUGUUUGAAAAAUGAACUACCCAUGCUACCAUGGCUUCUAUUAAUGACGUUUGCCACAGUGAGACCAUCUCUUAUGAACACUCUCAAAAUUAGUCUUUGAGGCUAAUCUUUCUUCACCAUGUAGAUACGCGAGCAUAUGACAGGUAUUGGCAAUCAAAAUCUUUAGAGAAACUUCGGACUUCGGAUUGCAGAUGCAGUACUUUGCAUCGAAGUCUUUUUUUUUUUUAAUUGAUAUAGAUCAAUGCUGAGUUUUAUAAUUCCAAUAAUAGAACUAUUACAAUAAGACACCAAGAGGAAAUAAAGUGCUCCAGUCUCCACUAUGGAUGAUAUCUACUCUGAUUCCAUCCAAGCUCAUCAAUACAAGAAUUGCCGGCUGCUAGUACUACAGUACUACCACCUGAUCUGAUUGCCAGAGUUCUUUCUGAGGUUUCCAACUUUGUCAUUGACCAACUUAUAAUCAAGCACACCGCAACAGCUUAUGAGACUAGAUCAAGAGUCCCUCUGAAUCCAAUUUGAGCAAGGAGAAAUUUUUCUGAAAUAGGAAAUUAAGAACCAGGAAAAUAACCACUGAAUAAAAGAAACAAACUUUUUGUAACUUUGCUCCUCAUUUGGUUAGUCAAUCAUGAACAAGAGUUUCUUUGUUCUUGAAUCUUUCAGCUGAUACUGUUAAAAGUUUGUUGAGUGACAUAUUUUCUCCUCUAGUCUUUCUCUUUGCUUCAUAUCUAUGCUUGAUCCUCCCAUCAAGCUUGUAACCAAGAAAUGCAGGAAAAACCAAAAGCUCUUCAACUUCCCGACCCAUCUCCUCUAUCAAGUACUCCAUCUUCUCUUGCAAGGAACCAUGAUUGUACUGCAAAACUUGAGGAUGCUUCUUGCUCAUGGCGAGAAUGUCGGCAUAAGACAGUCCAUAAUCCAAGAAAAGCCCUAUCACCUUCUGCAUAUUCUCACAGCUUGUUCUAGUCAUAGCGCCGACUGCCAUAGCCAAUUCCUUUGUUCUAUAUUCAUACCCAAUCUUCACCAAAACUCCAAGCUUAUGUGCAAGAUUAUCUUCCAAAGACAGGGCUAGAAAUAGAGGAGCUUUUGUCAAGAACUUGAAAAUGUCAUUAGAAUCCAAGCCACAUUGCUUGAGAAACUCUACUCUUGGAUGCAAUUUACGCUCCUUGCUGGCACUAAUCACAUUUGGAAACACGAGAAUGAUCUUGAAUAUUUGUUGAUCACUUAGUCCAGCAAAACACCUGAAGAACUCUACAUGGUUCUCCAAAUGGCCAAAACUGUAGCUCAAGAUUGUAGGAAGCCUCCGCAGCACCGUCCCAGUGCCAUUUUCAUCUCCCCCACUAAGCUCCAGAAGAAAAGUAACCUUUGGAAUCAGCUGAGUUUCAAGAUCAUAAUUAAGGAUCAAUGGCCGUCUUAAAAUUAGGUCAAUGCCACCAUAAGGCUGCAAGAAAUCAAUGGUUCUUUGAAUAUCUCCAAGUGACUUCUUACACAACGCUUUUGAUAGAUUGACAUCGUUGAGAACAUAAGCAAUCUUUUCUUUAGGAACCCCAUGUCGAAGUAGUAGCCUAACCUUUCGGUUAAAACCAGCCAAGAAUCUUGCUUCCGUUGCAGUUAACAGGCGUUCGAGCUGCUUUAGCUCAAGCUUUCCUUCCAUGUCAUCGAGCAGAAAUCGUAUCAAUGGAUCAACUUCCUCUGCUGUCAACACAUUUGGGCGUUUCAUAACCAUGCGAUAAAGCGCAGUACCCGUGAUUCCAAGAGACUGCAAAGAAAGAAGACGGCUCUUUAUCUCAUCGAAAGAAGAUAAUUUCAGAGAUGGGUUCUUCAAAAGAAGAUAUUCUGUUUCUUCUUCGUUGAUUCCCAGCUCCCGGAACAAUGGAUAGAGAAAACCUGAGAUCCAAAAAGACAACACACUGAAAGCUUCGCAUGUACAUGAAGUGUUUGAUAGUUCGCCUCAAAGAGAAAAAGAAGGAGAGAGCUGGUAUCUACCAACCUGUGUCACUUUGAAGAUCUGUUAGCGAGUUGAGGCAGCCGCACUGGAUAAGAAGAUGUUGAGUGGCUCGAACUGGUUUAAUCUCAAUCGAGGUUGCAGUAGAGAAAUUCACGAGAAAGAAGCAUUCAUGAGUGCCAGAUGCUGCUGCAUGUGAAUAGACCGGAAGCUGGCUUCUGGCUGUUUGCGAGAGGAAGGAAACAGUAGAAGAAGACGAAGACGGAGGACAAAAAGGAAUGGCGAACAUGGCAAUCGAUUGUUGUCGAGUACGGGAUCGGAUUAGGAAGAAGAGAAAACAGAGGAGGAAGACGUCGUGCUCAGUUUUAGAAUUUUACUCCACAUUGGGCCUUGGCCUGGGCCUGAGCCUUCCAGGGCUGUGCAAAGAAAUAUGUACUAGAAUUUCUAAGGCAUUAUUCUUAUUAUUAUCACUUAUUUGGAACAUUACAUAUUUUAAAAAAAUAUUCAGAAUGGACAGACUCAAACAGGGUUUUCCAAAUAGUUAAAUGGGAAAUACAUGUAUCAAAUGGUUAAUUAAACGUAUCAUAGAUAUAUAAAAGUGUGGUUGGUUUUGUUUGAAGUACACUUGGUUUAGUAGGCUGUUGCCAUCUCUAACUUAUUAGUAGUACCCAUCUCUAAUUUGAGUUCAGUAGUGCAUCUGCUUAUCAGCUUAUGCCUGUGUUUCAGGUAAAUGCUGAUUUUUGUUCCUUCAACCAGCAUUUUAACUGUAAGAGAUUCGAGGGUAGUAUAACCAUAGAAAUUUCCAAUAGAAGAAUCAAAUGAUCAUCCAUCCAAAAAUAAGUAUUUACAGUAUCAUCUACCUUCCACCGCAAUGUUAUAAAUAAUUACUCCAAAAUGAUACAACAUAGAUUCCCACCAUAUUGAUUGGUCAAAAGAAUUUACUUCCUUUGCCCAUGGAAGAAUUAAGAAGGAAGUGACAGAUACUGCAAAUCCAAAAUGAUAAUAACUGAUAUCUUACUUCUUCCAAAUCAUUACUUCCAAGUGAUGAUGUAUCAGGGCUUUUCCUGCCCCUGGGAACCAAUAGGACUAUUUUUCCUAAGGUUUGCUCCACCUGUCUUGCUUAUACCAAUGCCUUUCACAAGCAUAACCGAUGAGCCUUCCUUUCUUGACUUCCUCGAUAACCUGUAAAGGAAGUCAGAAACAUGUUCAAUGUGAGGAAAAAUGUAAUGCUUAUGGGUUUAACGUGUGUGAGAGAAUCCCAGAUAAUCACAAGUGUACUUGCCUCCUUUUAGCAACUUGGCUAAGAUCACUAGGUGUCCUUUUAGUAAUUUCUUCCCUUCCCUUAUGAGGAUUCUGUACCUGCAUGAGGAAAUAAGUCACUAGAUUUUGUUUCGGAAAAACUCAGUGAAAAAUUGAUAAAAGUCCACUCAAUAAAAAAGAACGGAAGGAUUCAUGAAGAUUAGAAGUAAACUCAGCUGUGCAGAUGAUAAGAAAAUUUCGGUUCAAAGAGAGUUCAGUUUAAUCAAAUAUGACACAAAAGAAUUCACGAGAAAAUGAUUUCUAAACAACCCACAAUGCAAAUAACAGAAUCCCUUAAAGAUUAGAGUCCAUAACAAAUAGAGAGAAAAUGUAACUUCUCCAAUCGAUUUUUAGAGCAUGUUAAUGUCAGAUAGGCAAUGCAGAUAAAAACAUAUUAUGGUAAUUGGAAUUCGUUAUUUGAAGAAAUAACUUCAAAACUAUGCCAGAAACAUGCACAAGAGUCUUCCACGCUUUCAUCGGAAGGAUGUCAGAACUGUUCAUGCCAAAUAAGUCAGUUGAUUUAGAGUAUUUAUAAUUUUGAGUGACUAAAAGUAAUCAUAUGUAUCAUCAAAUAGGGCUGUUCCAUAAUUGAUGAGGAAGCCAAUAAUCCAUAGUAGUGAAGAAAAAAAGAGAGUGACGAGAACAGUAAGCAAGAGGUCCAUAUGUGGAACCAGAAAGUAGCUCCACCUUAGCACAUUGGCUCACCUGAAAAUAAGCCAUUAAAUUUGAUGGAAGGUACCCUAGCUGAUAGGAGCUAUUACAGCCACCAGAAAUGCACAGUAGAACUAAGAAAACCCCUGGCCACAGUUUGACACUUUCAUGCUCAUAUUAGCUAAGGUAUGUCACAUCACACAAAAUUAAAAAUUCAUUAUUGCAAGAGUUGUAUUAGGAUGUAGUUUUUAGACAAUUAACUUUCAGUUUUUCACAUAAAAUAUAGUGUUUUCAACCAGUUCUCCACAAAAUCAUAACUUUUUUAGUCACAUCCACAGUUAAUGGUUAAAUUUAUGAUUAUUAGCCAUGUAAUAUGUUAGAAGAACCAGCUGUACGGAAGCCAAUUCACAACGCAGGAAAAUAUCACCAAUCAUGGACCGAUGGGAGAAGAACUUCAAACCAAAAACCUCAAGGGUGGCCUACCCCACAGUAGAGAAUCACUAGACACACACUGGCAUGAAAUAACUGAUUCCAACAUAAAGUAAAGGUACAAACAGAUCGCAAACCAUAUCAAGCCAGACAGACUUUAUGAUGAAAUUUCGAUUGGCUUUCAAGGCACAAAAAGGAAGAAGAUCUACACUUACAGUAAUAGAAGAGAGUUGGCAAUUCCUUAUAAAUUUAAAUGCUGGAGUCAAAACAAAGACUGCAAUUCUUAAUGUCUUUGAUCCUCUGGUGUAAAUAAGUGCAUGCAUUCACUCUGUUAUAUCAGCAGAAACAAAUCUAGAAGAUCAUUUGUUAUAUAUUCAAGAAACUAGACUGUAACCCACACUUGCCAAGCCAACAACAAAUGUGAUAUAACAUAUCUUAACCAUGGAAUUCUCAGACCAGAUAACAAGACUUCAUAGCAGAGACUAAAAAGCUAUGCGUAUGAAACUGGAAAACAGAAGGGCAUUGAAAAGAAUGCACUCAGGAAACAUAACGUCACAGUCUUGAUCAAAACAAAACCAUUCAGUAAAAUACUACUUACGGUGCUAGAUACGUGCCUUAUCACUAGAAUUCGAACAGCAGAAGGAGAGAGUUAGCAACCAAGAGGCAAAGAAGACCAAUCUUACAUGAAAAUGAAGUUGACUGGAAGGCGAGAAAGACUCCUUUGCUUCAUCGGCUUUCCGGGAAUGUGACUCCAAUUCCGGCGUGGAGAGUUUUGCCUUUUUGCUGCCGCCAACAUUAUCCUCCGGCAUCGUAUUAUCCUUCCUCUUCUUCUUCCUCCCGAAAACGCGAGACUUACCCUUUUUAUCCCUCACUUUCCACACAUUCUUCCGCCUGUACACCAACUUAUCAGACUUCCACACUGCACAGCUCGUGUCUAUAACCGUCACUUCGCUCCUCGAGUAACCUACCAGCUCUUUCUCCCCCUUCUCUUUCUCCUCCUCCACAUCCACCUCGCACUCACCAAGGUUACCGUCUCGAGUCGUGUUCUUGGUUCCCCGAGCUCUGUUAUUGUCCGAAUUAUACGACGCCGUAGCCGGCUGAGCACUCUCGUCUUCUCGUACAAUACUGGAACCUUUGGGAGGCGAGUCGGGAGGAGGCGGGACAACGCAGAAUUUAGGGUUAGUUUGUUUCCUGGAAGACUUUUUGAAUGUUGAGGCGCGAUUAGAUCCACCCAUGAUGAAGAGCUCCGACAGGACAUUGCUCAUUACACCGAGCCAUUCUCCGUCUUUAGGUUUAUGAGUCGGUCGAGUGGAAAUCUCCGCCCGAUUGAGAGGUAGGUUUGGAUCGGUGAUCGAGUUAGUCAACUCAGGGGUAGGAGCAGCAGAAUCGGAGGCAUUGGUGGGAAUGGUGGGAGAAAGGGAGGUGUUAGGGUUAGAAUAAUUGUUGGUGAGGAAAUGGUCGAGGCCGAGGCUGUCUCCGGCGGGGAAUCCCUUAUUCGACCGGAGACGGUCGAGCCAAUUUGAACCGCCGGACUUGGUGGCGGAGGAAAUAGAGCAGAGCAUUGAUGAAUCGCGGGACAAAUCUAAAUUUAAUCGAUACAAUGUAGCGAUUGCAGAGGAAGAAGCAUUAUCAAUUAGCAGUCUGCAGAUUGCAGUGAUGGUUAAUGGUGGAUUAGCCCCGAUGGUCACUGUAAUUUCAGUAACACGUGUCGCACGCUUGAGCUCUAAGAAGCUGAACUGACUACUGAGUUCUCAUACUUCUCAAAGGACUAAUGGGGUCGCUUGGUUAUUUUUAUUUAAUAAUAUAUUAUUUUCAUUUUUUAUUAAAUUACCUUAUAAUAUAUGAAUUUCAUACCUUUUAUUUAUAUAAAAUGCUUAAAUAUUUAAAAUGUAAAAAUUGCUACCCAUUUAAGAAUAUAAAUUUGUAAGUAAUAUUUUCUAAAAAUCGAACCAGUCAUAAACAUAAUAAUUUUGUUAUUUUUUUAUUAUUAUAUUAUGAUAAUAAUAUACUUAAUUAUAUUAUUUAAAAAUCCAACUAGUCAUAGUCAUAAAAAAAAUUUGUAUAUACAAAUCAUAAACAACAUAUAAACUUCAACACUUAAAACCACUUGAAUCAAAUCAGUGUAUGUUCACCCGUUUGCACUGAAUUCCUAAAAACUAAAACUCUGGUUCAUCCUACCGAAAACUUUUUGUCGCUUGUCAGCCAGAAUUCGAAUGCUAUUACUAGGACCUGAAACAUUCAUACCGUUUGAAAGUUUCAAUGUGGAAGGUGAAGAUAUCUGUGACUCCAUACACGACAAUGAGUUCAAUGGCUUCACAAUUGCAGGCCUGCAUUUCUUCUUACUCGGAACUGGCGGGAUUUUGCAAAUUCGCGGAGGAGGAGGGUUUUUCCACUUUGGAAGCGGCCCAGCAUCUAGCAGCGUCUGGAGAAGUGGACCGGCAUCCAUUACAGCCUGCAAGAGCUUCCCCUUUUCAGGCAAAGGUCUUCCCUUGCUAGCAUUGUCCAUUGCAACGCCACAUGGUUCAGUUUUGGUCAUUGAUUUAGACACAAAACAAAGAUUGUUUGGCUGAUUAACAAAACCCGAAUCAGCCAUGUUAAUGUUGUCGAAUAAGGAAUCAACAGGAGAGAAACCGGGUGAAUGGGACAAACUGUUGGAUUCUGUAAUGCUGGAGUUGGCUUUUGCAGGUUGGACAUGGGGAAGAAUUGGAUUGACUAAGUCAGUUGGGUCAGCAGAAGACAUAAACUUGUUGAGAAGUUUCUGCAGCUGAUGUCUUGCUUCAUCUCUUUCUUUGCAAGUAAUGUUUACGAGACUGAAUAAAUGCCUCAACUGCUCAUUGUGUCUAAUUGCUUCCUCAUCCGCCUUCUUCUUCACAGACUCUAGUUGAAAAGUAGUGUAUUCAAGCUUCUGCCUGAGUUCAUCAAUAUCCUAUCAAUCCAAAAACCAGAUCAUUUUAAUACCAGCGGAAUCUCUUCUCCGGUGAUUUCCCCUGUACAAUUCCUACUUUACGAUAGAAAUGAUUCCAGACCCGUAGCCAUCUAGUACGAAUACACUCAAGAUGUUUUGAACAAAACUAGUUCAGUUUAAACUACAAAACUUUAUACGUGUUUGUGUAUGUAGAAAUGAUACGACAAUCAUAGGAUUUGUAACAAAUAAUUGAGAUAAUGAAUGGAAUGACAAUAUAAACUUUUAAUACCACUCGUGAUCUUCAUCAUUUGUAGUAAUGAAAUUGAAAGAGAUUAAAAGAGAAGAAUACAAAGGAAAGAGCCGAAUUGCCUCCUUGUGGGUUCAAAGAGGAACUAAAUCAACAUUUUAAUAUCAACUCACAGACCAUGAAGACUGGAGAUGAACACCUGUUUCAGAACCCAGAUUUUCAUAAUCGAAGAUUACAUCAAUUCUGUAAAUAGUGAUUAUAAUGGAUGUAUACUAUCGUAUAUGCAUGUAUCAGAAAGGGAAUUCAGUCUUAUCAAGAGAAGGGCACUCAGGAGGGAAACAGAGGAUCAUAUACCAAUAAUCAAAAUGAAGAAAAACAGCAAAGAAUUCGGAGAACCCAGAACAGAAAUGUGCUAUAUCAGUGAAAGAGAUGACAACAUCUAUGAAUCUCAGUGAAUUGAAACAAUAAAAAGUGUAAACAAAAACUAACGAAAAGAAUAAAGAAGCAAUGGAUAUAAUCACCAUUAAUGACUGCAGUAUCGGACAGUGUUAAAAUAAACAAAUCAAAUAUAGAAACUGGUACAGAAAUGAACCCACCUCCGGAUAACUCCAAUUAACAAAACUCAAAUCCUCCAUUUGUUGAUUCGUCCUCUAGCAAAGAAGAAUAAGAAGAAACAGACCAAGGAGAGAAAACCAGAAAACAAAAACAGAGAUAAAACAACCUGCAAGUCCUGUAUAGAGCAAUGGAAAACACACACACACACACAUAUAUAUACAGAUAUUUAUGUACGAGUAGAGAGCGAGAGAGAGAGAGACGGAGAGGGAGGGAGAGAGAGAGAGAGAGGGGGGGUUGUUUCUCAGGAAACUUGAGAAAACCAGUAGACAGCAAAUUAAGGAUUUUGCCGGAAGAAAAAACUUUCCAAUUAGCAAAAAACCGAGAUCCCAUUUUCUUCUCUCUCUGUAAUAUUCACUUUCCCGCUCUUUCAGGGCUCUUUCCUUCUUUCCUAAAAUAACUCAACCCUCCCCUUGUGGUUGUAUAUACAUAUACAUUAUAUGUAUACUCUAUACAUAUAUGUAAGGAAUAGUCAAUGAGGUUUAUGGGAGCUUUUAAUUUUUUUUACGCGGUUUUCUGUUGCAGGGUUGCAUCAAAGGUAAGUUUCCAUAAACGAAGUCCAUCAUCUUCCAUAUAUAAUCAAUUCAGACUUCGUAAUGACAGGCUACGGCAUACAGGGUUCUUCGUCCUCGUUUUAACGAAAGACGAAACAAAAAUCGAUUGCAAUCAGCAAGGCUACAAUUUGAAUUUGGGCCAUCGAUGUAAGCCCAUAAUGAACUGGGCCGAAGCAAUGAAAUGGGCCCAGUUGUUUCACAUGGCCCAAAUUAUAUAUCUGUACAUUAAAAUAAAUAUAUAUAUAUAUAUUUCUUAGAACAAUAUUUAAAAUAUAUUUUAAAAAAUCUAUUGCUAUUUUUAUUUUAUUAUUAACUAAGAAUAUAAUAUUCUAAACACAAUAUAUAAAAGUUAAAAUAAUUAGUGAGAUUAAAUUAUAAAUAAGUCAAACAAGGGUACAAUUGUAACUUGAUCUUUUCGUAUUCGGCAAGCAACAAAACGGCGUCGUUACAUUUAAAUGCUGCUACUCCACUCACCUCUGAUCUUCUACUCACAUUUCUGUCUUCUUCUACGUUUGCCGCCAUUGUUCCUCGUUAUAUUUCUUCUUCUCCACUUCGUCUUCGUCGCAAACGCUUCCCUGCUAUUUACUCUGAUGCCACAAAUUAUGCCUUUUUCGUGUCGACAUCCGAUUAUGAAAAAUUAGUCAUUGGCUUGUUUUGGUGGGGCCAUGGCUUUAAUUGAGGCCGCCAUUGGAGGACUGUGUGCAGUGUGUAUAUCUUUUCUUGUCGGUUUGAUAAUAGGGUGGACAUGGAAACCAAGAUGGGAAUGGUUCUGGAGGGAUGUGCCCAUCUUUAAUUCAGCCGCUGAUUCUUCUAAUUUGGCUAUACCGGCCUCACUUUCCACGAAGGAUUUAGGAUCGAGCUCUGCUCCUUGCUUGAAUUCCUCCGGGCCUGCAACUUUCCCGUCAUGGGUCAUCGGAGAGAGAGACACAAAGACAACUCCUUUACCUGCUAGCAAAAAUGAUGAUUGCAGGUUAUUGAGCUGAACACUUUUCUUAUUAUACCCUCUAGAAUUUCAUAAUGUUUCAAAGUUUGUUCCUUGUUUGUUAAUUUUCCCCAUGUACAAUAUCUGGUUGCGGAAUUCAAUUUGUUUUUUGCUUACGUUUUGCACCAUGAAGUGAUCGUCAUGGGAUUUCAUAAGCAAUUAUGGAAACUGCUAAGGAUAUUGGAAAAUAAAAUUAUUAGAAGUUACCUUCUUCACCCCCUAACCCCCAAAAAGAAAAAGAAAAGAACUGUUACAAUUGGAUAAUUCUUGCAUUUUCGUAUGUUCUUAUCUUGAUAAGAUGGGAUUUAAUUAGUAUAAUUUGUGAGAUAUAGUUGUCCUUGGCUCCUAGCCCUGUCGUGAACAAAAAUCUUCUGUUUAUAUGUCUUCCGUGAAAUGUGUUUUUGCCUAGUGAGAUUGGGAGUGAGACGUGUUAGCUCAUAAGAUGUGUUGUUUGUUUAGUAAAUCUCAGCUCAAUGAAGGGCAACCUAAUGUUGUGAAGGAGGAAGAUUUACAGUAUUUAAUCCAGCUUGUAAAGAUGAAAGGUGGAGGUCCUCCUUGGAUACACAUGAUGCAUCGUGUCAUGCCGAAUAUGAGCUAUCAAGCAUGGUGGAGAGAUCCCAAGGUUAGGUUUUCUUGCAUAGUUUGUUGGUCCCCUUAUUCUUUUAACUUCAAUCAGUAUAUUGAUAAUUGAUGUCUUCAUUCACAUUCUGGAGUUUUAGUCAUUCAGAUGUUGUUUUUUGCUCUCUGAUUUUGAUUUAUUUAUUGGCCCUGUUAAGAAUGGUCCUUGUCAAUAUCGAAGUAGAACUGUGUUUGAGAAUGCCGCACCGGAGUUGGUGAGGGACUUUUUCUGGGAUGACGAGUUCAGACCAAAGUGGGAUAACAUGCUUGCAUCUUCUACAACCAUAGAAGAAUGUCCCAACACAGGAAACAUGGUAGUGCAAUGGAUACGUAAGGUGAGCCUUUUCUACAUUUAUUUUGGUGGAGUGGUUGAUGUAGGUUUUGAAUGCUUAUCUUUUGCAAUGCUUGGUGAUGCAGUUCCCGAUUUUCUGUAGUGAUAGAGAAUACAUUAUAAGUCGACGAAUAUGGGAGUUGGGAAGAUCUUUCUAUUGCGUGACCAAGGUAGGAAGAAAUCUAAUUUACUGUUUAUAUGUUUUGACCUAUCUGAUAGCUUACAAAUGGAAAAUCUACUUCGACAUUAAUGGAAUGAAUCCCUGUGGUUAGAGUAUUAAUGUUUUCAUCGAGGAUUUACUAGGUUAAUUUGCCCCUUAACUUUUUAGCACGUGAUAUAUAAAGGUUUGAACACAUGUAACUUAUAAGGAGAAGCACGGAGGUAAUCACUUUGGAAUUGGAGAAGCAUUUGAAGUGAAAAAGGAACGUGAACAAUAAGAAAGGAAAUAAAUUUAUUGCUUAUGCCUUGCUUAUUUGGUGUAACCAAAUGAUAUGAUUUGCCAUUCUCAUUCUUCAAUUUUUCAGGGAGUGCCCUAUGCUUCUAUUUCAAGCCGCAAUGGAACAAAACGAGUUGACCUAUACUACUCAAGUUGGUGCAUUCGAGCAGGUAACUUCUAUUUUCAGUUAGUUAUAUUUGAGUGUUAAUGUUGUGCAAGUGUAAAAUAAUCAAACAAUGAAGAACAGAAAAAAUAUGGCUUGCAAGAUCUGUUUGCUCAGUCUAUAUUCUGUAAGAGAGAUGCCAUCCACCCUCUCUUCUAUCUAUUAUAACAAUUAGUCUUUUCAAAAGGAGCAGGCAUCGUAGAGUACUGUUUUUUUAGAUUAGUAGUCAAUUUUCUGGUUUGUCUUUAAAUCAAUUAAAAUAAACUAACAAAUGGUAAAAUUCCCUGUGAUAACUAGUGGAAUCGAGAAGUGGUGAUGGCCAAAUGACAGCAUGUGAGGUGUUACUUUUCCAUCAUGAAGAUAUGGGAAUCCCGAGGGAACUUGCAAAGCUUGGAAUACGGCAAGGGAUGUGGGGAGCAGUCAAGAAAAUUGAGCCUGGCUUACGCACCUACCAGAAAGAAAGAUCAUCUGGAGCACCCCUCUCUCCAUCUGUUCUUAUGGCUCAAAUCACUACCAAAAUAAACGUGGAAUCUCUUAUCUCAACAGGCUGCACAAGAAAUUUAUCGGAGGAAGAAGUGUCAACAGCUGACAAGCCACCGGGGAGGAACAUACCAAAGCUCAUAAUUUUUGGCGCAGCUGUUAUCCUUGCUUGUAGUCUUGACAGAGGGUUAUUGACGAAGGUGUUUACAUUUGGUGCUGCCAGAAGCUUUGCCAAUAUGGGAAGAAGAUUAUGAUUUAUGUGCUGAAGAUCAAUUUAGGGAUGUUGACUGUUUAGUAGCUCGCCUUUUGUGUAAUUGAGCAGUUUCUUUUUCCUUUUCUUUUCUAGUAUUUAGCAGAGAGGUGACUGUUACUUACCAUUCUGAGGACACUGAAGUUUCUGAUCUGUCCUCUGAUACUAAAUUCUUUGGACAACAGAACUGCCACGGCAAGCAGCCACGUUCAUUUGAUUAAGCGAAUACACAACUCUGUAUACCUGAAGCUCAAAGUUUCUUCCUAAGGUAUUCCCUGAGCUGAAAGAAUGCAGUAGCAUGUGUUUGUUACGUGCUGACUGCUCUGAGUCUCUUCUCAUGUUGCCUUAGAAAGUGGGUAUGCAGUUUGCUCAUAUUCAAGUUCUGCCAUUUUGCGCAUUUAAGAAAAUGAGCUUCGUCAUCCUAACCGUGUUUUCUUAUGAAAUUGCUAUUGGGGCUUAUAACAGCAGGCUUGGAACUGAUAUAUAUAAGUUUCCUUACUUUUGAUGCUAUGCAAGAUUUUGGAUAAUUACACCAUUUGCAGCAGAUUAGACGAUUAUUUUAUAAAAUUCAAGGCUCCAUCUAAUGUGAGCAUGGGUUGCAAAGCUAUGCAACACUUUGGAUAAUUACACUGUUUGGAGCAGAUUAGCUGCCAAGCAAAAGCAAGAAAACUCGAGAUUUGUGGAUAAGAACUUCAAGGCGUCAUGCCACUUUGAGGUAAUGUUUUUUAUCCUUGUUCCCUAUCACAUACAAAAACAAUUAUGAUUUCUAUAGAAAGUUGACUUAUGUUUCUGAGAUCCAUACUCAAGUGAGUAUAUUUCUGUGUUCUGCCGGCUGUUCAUGCAGUCCACUGGUUUUCAUGCAACCACCACAGAGGCGGCUGGCAAUGUCAGUGGCCAACAAAAGUUUCAAAAGAGUGCAACCCAUCAAACUGUGGUGCUAACUUGGGCAAGUGAGUGUUCUUCAUUUUCUUCUUUUGGUUUGCCAGGAUAUGCUGCAGAUAUUCCGUCAUCCCACCUGCAGCUUCCUGGACAGAUGAAAUCAUAUCUUCUGUUAAAAUUUUUAAUUAAACCAGGAAUAGAAAGAAAUACCAGCAUAGGCGUGCUGGAAAAUGCUUCAUCAUGAUUUGAAGAUAAUCUAAUUACCUCGGUUAUGUUGUGGUUUCUGUCAAAGAAAUAAAUCCCAAUUGCAGCAACUAGAAGGUAGUCGUAGCCAUAUGAGCCGCACCUUGGAUAGCUCAAUGAUUGAUCUUUAAAAGGUUCCAACAGACAAGAUGAAGACAGUAAAAGCUAAGCCAAGGAAAGUAAAGAUACCUUGGUGGUCAAGAGAAGUAAAGAAUGGUGUGAAGACAAGGACAAAUUUUAUCACCAAGGAAAUGCAAAUGUAAGUAUAUUAAAUAUGUUUAUAUGUAUAUGUGGAUGAAUAUUUGGAUGUCAGGAAGAUGAGGCUAGAGGGUAGCAGGAUAAUGUUAACUGGCAAAUGAUAUGAAGAUGAUGUGGGAGAGGGUUUUAAGAGAAUAACAAGCAGGACACGUCAUGAGCAGCGCGCUCACCACACAAGCCAACCUUUUUCUCUUAUCUUCUUCACCGUCACCGUGGAUCAAAUUGAAGUCGCAGCCAUUUUUUGCUCGACAGCUCUCUGUAAAUCUCAUCACAUGGUCAUGUCCACAUGGUCACCACAUGGCUUCAUGUGUGACUAAUCACACGUAACAGUUCCUUCUAAUCGGACUGCUAGCAGACCAUGUGGAGGUGGAAAAUGAGCCGUUUGUGCUUUCCCUAUGGCAUCAAUUUAUCAACUUGCGUUUCAACAACUGCUUAGUUGCAUAGUUGAUACAUCUCUUUCUCCAUAAAUUACGCGUACUUAUCUAAAAAUUUAUUUAUAAUAUAUUGAAAUUAUUGUCUACUUACCACCUAAACUACUAAUUAAUAUACAAAAUUACCCCCCAAAAAAAAAAUUAUCAACUUAUUUAUGAUCUUAAUGUUGAAAUACAAUGGAACCCCAAAAAAAUUGGCUAUGGUAUCUUAUUUACAAGAUCAUUGCAAUUUAUUCAGUGAGAAAAUUUCGACCAGUUACAAUGAAAAGACAAGUAGAUAAAAAAAUCUUCAAGAAGGAAUUAUUGUCUCAAAACAGUAUACUCCGUCCAACUCCGGAGCAAACCUCGGCGUUCUACGUCGUUCCCGAGGAGAAGCAGAUUUCUUGCAAUCGGAAUUUUUGGAGGAGGGCGGCGGCGAUGACGACUUGUGGUCUGUGGAUGGGUUUGAGGAAUCGACGGAGGAUGGCUUGGAGGUCUGCGACUGCGAAGAAUCCCAUGAAAGCUUGAGGCUGCGAGCGUAGAAUUCAGGAGAGAAAGCGUCGAACGAGCUGAAAAUUGACAUCAUUUUGUUAUACAAAUAAUGAUCAGAAACGUUGGUGGGUUUUGACUGCUGCAAGCUUUGCUUGGAUAAGGAUGGGGGGCUUCACUUACAUGUAUAUAUAUAUAUAUAUAUAUACACACACAUUUACACAUGUAAUGAAUGGAUAGAAUGAUCUGGAAGAUUUGUUGUGAGUGUAAGAUUGGAGGAAGUCCGCGUAAAAGGAUCAAGAAACAUGUACCAGAAACAUCGGGAACGUGGCUUGUUGUUAGAGGACCUUCAUUACCUGUUCUGUCCCGUAAUUUCCUCUAUAAUUUCUGGUUGAUUUUACGUGUUAAGUGACAAAACCUUCUUCUCUAAAUACACUGGAUACAUCCUAUAUCUAUAUAAUCAUAUAACAAAGAAAAUUUUUAUUUGCAUAAAUGAUGUAUUCCAAUUUGGAACGAAACCAUAAUUUUUUUUUUUACCCUUUGAAUUAUUCUACCAGAUCAAUCGCUUAAGAUCUGUAGUCUCUGUUCAGACCCAAUAAACUCGUUGAGAAACCGUUCUGAAAUUAGAAUGGUUCUGAUCUAGUCAUGGCUUAUUAUACGAUACGUUUGAUAACAAUCAAGUGAUAUUAUAUACUCCACCAAAACUAGUAUAUUUUCCGACAUUAAGCAAGAAUUAAAACUGAAAUCGGAAAUCUAAACACAGAUAUAGAUAAUCACUGGGCCAAAACCCAUAAUUUACAUUCGUCAUAGCCAUUGGCAAUUAUGCCUCCUCCAAAAAUUUUUUGUGCCCACAAAUUUUUACUUUCUUCACAUUAGAAAGUAGAGGUCUUGUUUCUUAUUUGAGAUUGGCAAUCAGAACCAUUGAUGUUCGCCUUACAAAUUUAUUACUUUUCUCCUACUAAUUCAUCCGUACUGAAAUCAUUCUAGGGUUUGUUCAACUAACAAAUAUAUAUAUAUAUAAGUGCGUAUAAGCAUAGUACAUACAUGCAGUAACGAUUAAAUAAAGAACAGAAACCAACAAAUUCAAAUGCUGCUGUGGCGUUGGGAUGAGUCCUAACGUUUAGAAUUAGAAUUACAAUACAAAUUCCUGCACCUAUUCUACCUUGGUUUUGAAAGGAUGAAAAGUUUAUAUAUAUUCUACCUUAGUUGUGUGUAUAUAUAUAUAUAUAUAUGUUAUAUAAAAGUUAAAAGUAGAAAUUCAAUUGGGUCGAGAGUGAAAAUAGAAACAAGAAGCAAAUGGUACAUAUAAUUAAUCCAAGAACCAAAUAAAAAAUUAUCUAACUUGUGUAAACGGAUCAAAACUGAUUGAAAUUCAUGUUACAAACCCUAAACUCUCAACAAUUCUUAACAAAAUUAGAAUUCCCAAUCAAGCCAGACGUAAAGACAAUACCAAAAUGCUAAAGUCUAGUCGAAGAGACUGAAACCCAUAUCGUCGUCACUCUCCUCCUUGGGCUCCUCCUGUAAAACACCACAAUUCAAGCACGACAAACAUCAAACAUCUCACCAAUGAACUAGGAAAGCAAUUCACCGACAACCUCUGCUAACCCAAAAAGAAAAAACGAAAUAACACGUAAACGAGGUGACCAGUGAGAAUCAUACCUUCUUCUCCUCCGCAGCAGGGGCGGCCGGGGCGCUGGCGCCCGAAGCAGGGGCGGAAACGGCACCAGGUGCAGCAACGCCGCCAGAACCGACGUUCACCAUGAGUUCUUCAAUGUUCUUCUUCUCAGCCAACUUCGCAAAAAGGAUUGGCCAGAAUGACUCCACCGUCAAAUUCGCCGCAUUGAUCAAUUUGGAAAUCUUCUCAGACUGUUUCCCAUUCACCAUCCAAAACCCAGGAGAUUUCAGAUCGAGAGAUAAAAAGCUCGUUAGAAUGAAAUCAAUCAAUGCAUCAUCGUGUAAAUGUAUAUCCAAAGAUUUGGACGUUGCUAAAGAGAAAUGAGAUUACGGUAAUUGCAAUCCCGUCAUCGAGUAAGAUGAGGGAAGCGUAGGUACAAGCGAGUUCUGCAGCUGCCAUUGAAGCUCAGACGCAAUAUCACUGCCGAAGUACCUGAAUAACGAACACCCAAACUGAGGAAUUGAAAGCCAACACAAUCAGAAUAAAGAAGAGAAGAGAAGAGGAAAUAUACCCAAGAAAGCUGCAAAAGAGAGAGGAAAUUGCGUUAGAAGAAGCGAGGGUUUUUAUGAACAGCAGCUUUAUACCUCGAGGAUUAGGGUUUUGGCGUUUCCACGUGUUGAUUGAAGGACGAAAUUCGGGCCGGGUCGGGUAAUGUGUAGGUCUAUAUUGAAUCCGGGUGUGAGGCUGUUCGGCCGAAUAUACAUUAGAGAUUACAUGUUCAUAAGCUGAUAACCAGGCCCUUUUUUAACUUUUUAUUUUUUUAUUUAGAUUUUAUUAAAGCUAAUAUUUAUAAUUACUAAUAUCUUCCUAAAAUUUAGUUUCACAAAUAUAUAUUUAGAAAAAUAUAUUUAUUUUCAUAUAAUAUAAAUAUAUAUAUAUAUAACAAAUAAAAGUAAAAUUUUAAAUAAAAUAAACGUUAUAAUUUCAAAUUUGCAUCAUGUGAAUAUUUUUUAUUAGCUUUCAAUCAUUAGAUUCAAUAUCAGAACUUUAUAGAAAAAAAUCGACAGAAAAUAAAUCAGUGAGAAGAGAGACAUAUAACAAGAUCAUUCAAACAUAAAGUAAAAUUGACAGGCAAUUUAAACCUGUAAUUUCGAGGAAGAGAUCGUCAUUCAAACUAUCAAAUUAUAACGUAACACAUAGAUGAGAGAACUUAAAACAUGAUUAUCCGAUUUAAAAGAUAGCAGAGAUAACCUGUAAGCUGAAAUUAGCUCAUAAAAAACCAGACUUCCCAACUGUGCUUCACCAAAAAGAGUAAAAGAAUCAUUAGCCAACUUCUGGGUUGUGACUGUGGAGAGGCAAUUCUCAGAAUCCGAAAUAGACAGCAAUUCAGGGUGCUUUCCGGUAAGGUCAAAAAGAUGGAGUGGCAUUAGGAGGAUUUUACCAAAGGGUAACCAUCAGUCUUACACAUAACACAUUUCAUUCAACAAGUUGACAAUGGUAAUAACCCAUUUUCCCAAGUUUGUUUGGCACCCAGUAGGUUCUAUUCCCUAGUAUACAAAAUCAAUGAAAGAAUUCAAAGUUCCUGUUUGGUCAAGUAGAGUGAAAGCUAGAUCCAAUAAACAGAAGAAUCAUAGUCAAAACAUGCUAUCUAACAAUUCACAUGAUCUCUUGUAAGAGACUAAUCCCGUGUGAUUCGUCAAAGAUGACAGCCAAACCCACACCUCUAACUGGUGUUUUAGUGGCAAUUCCCACCUAGUUGCUGCCAUUGUCCAUCGAGACAGUCUACCCAAAUUAAACUUGAGCCAAAAUGCAAUGACGUAGUUGAAACAAGAAUCCAAACAAAAAUAUGUGAAACAAUUAGAGGAUGGAACUAGUUAUGAAAGGAAGGUAGUACAAGAAACUACUAUAUCUUGUGAGGCAACAGAUUGAAAAGGAAAACUGGUGAGUCUGGUAAAUCAUCACCCGGAGACACUUAAAGAAGUGGACUUAAUUAUUCAAUCCGGUAAUAAAGUCAUAGCUGGGUAAAUUUCUCACCAUAUGUACACUACAAAGUUACAGGAGAUUCAGUUGUUACAAGCAGAAGAGGCUAACCAUUUAGUAACCUCUAGCAAGAUUCAAAUGUUUUAGGCUCUGCCGCCAUGAUUUCUUCAAAAACAAUGUCAGAAAGGGUUAAAUUCCAUAUCGGAACAAGCAUAAUAUAAGAAAUAUUUGUUCACUUACUAAGCCAUGAGAAUUGAGAUAUUCUAACUCAAUCAUAAAACAACAGAAACAAAAAGUUGCAUCCCUUGUUUUGCACAACCUGAUUUUGGCUAAAAACUCCAUUAGAGAACAUAUAUAAGACCAUAAAACUCAUUCGCAAGCUAUAUAUCUUAACUCAGUAAACACUAAUUCUAGUAUGCUGACAAGAAAUUCAAUUGAGACUUUGAGCAGGCCAGCACAGGGAGACCUUAACUGCAAGCAACUCCCAGUACAGAUCUACUUUUCCUACAGAAAACGGAUAGAUAUACAAUCAUGUUUAUCUGGCUACCUAACAUCUAACUACUAAUACAAUCAAGCAAGGUGCGAUUUUAAUUAACACAAAUUCGGACCUUAAACUUUCAACAACUGCAUCUUGUUAGCAAAAGCAAUGGCGAUCCAAUCAGGCUGAGCUGCAGACCACUGCAGCUGGUUAAUCUCGGACCCAGAAGAGUACAUGGACAUUGGGUCGAUCCCAUUGGGUCCAGCCACCGUCGGCAGCUCCCAAAUAAGCGCCUGCGUGUCAUCGCCAGCGGAGCAAAUGUGUCUGCAGCUCUGCGGAGCCCAAGCAAUAGCGUUAACACUCGCGUGAUGCCUCUCCAACUCAGCUACCGGCAUGGUUGGGGAGCGAAUAUCCAGAAUCACAACUUUGUUGCUGUCCAUCAAAAUGGUCGCCAUGUACCUCAAAUCCUGCUUGUUCCAAGCCAAUCUAAGCAAAGGGGUAUCAGGUUGCGGGCUCUCGUAGAUAAUGGUGGAAUGCUCUUUGUCUCUCAAAUCGAAAAUUCUGACAGACCCAUCGGCGGAUACGGAGGCGAAGACCCUGGCUUCGCCCCAAGCGAUGUCGUACACCUCCUUAUCAUGAGCUAUGAGCUGCGUUUCCACCGCGCCCUUCUCGAUAUCCCAGAUGGUGCAGGUGGUGUCGAUGCUCGAAGUCCCGAUUCUCCGGGGCUCCACCUCGUUCCAAUCGAAGGAGGUCAACGGAGCGCAGAACUCGCUUGUUUUGCUGUUGUUGAGGACAGACACGGGUUCCACCGACGAAUCGCGGAUCUCCCAUAGCCGAAGAAAGUCGCCAGAGGACGCAAGCAGAUCGGAUGAGGAUUUAAGAAGCGAGGAGGGAGCAUUUGGGUGGAACAUCAGCUUGGUAGGCGGGUACGGAUGCUCGAAGGAGAGAGUGGGUUGUGUUCUAAUUGAGAAUGUUUCCGGGUCGAAAAUGAGGAUGUCGACCCGAUUUGUAAAAUCCUCAAUGAAACUCCCGACGGCAAUGCGUUGCGGGUGGUGGUGGUGAUGGUGGAUAGAAGAAAAGGACAUGGCGUAGAGAGGGUAUGGGGAUUCGUAUGUGAUGCAGUUAUCUGAUCCCAGGUGGGACUCUUGAGUUGAGUUCUCCAUCCUUAUGGGUAGUGAGUUAAACCUUUCUGCAAUACGAAAAUAAACGAAGAAUAACAAAAAAAAGGAAGAAGAAGAAGAACAAAAUAAGAGAUGGCUGAAGGAGAAGGAAUUAGUUGACUGGUAGGAAGUUCAUGGAAGUUCUUGGGCCUUUGACAGGAAGAUAAUCAGAAAGGGGAAAUCCUGAGGGGGAUGAGAAAUGCUAUAGUACGUGCGUCUUCAUUGGACGUAUGUUAUAUUACCAAAUCACCAACCGUCAAUUUUGUUGUGAAGAAGUAUAUACUAUCAAACUUAAAUUUUUCGUGGGAGGAAAAAAAUUGCUUAUAUUUUUUAAUUUUUACUUAGAUAUAAUUAAUUUCCUUUCAACUAAAAAUUGUGAAAAUUAAUAUUUAUAACAAGUUUAAUAAUUAUUGAAAAGCUAAAAGUUUAAUAUAUAGUUAUGCCUAUAUAUUAUUUUUAUUAUACAAAUAAGAAAAGUAAUAUCUAAAUUUUUUUGAUGUGACAAGGUGUAUAAAGAUAUAAUAUUUCUAUAAAGAACUAAGAUACCCGAAAGUUAGAUAGGGUGGUAUUUAUGUAAGGAUUAUAUUGACCUUAAUUUUUAUGAAAUACAAAUAUUCAUUGAAUGAUAAGAAAAUAGUAUUUACUACGAGUAUUCAAAUUUGUACGUUUUAUUAUCUUAUAUAUCAAAUACACCAAACAGAAUAAUUAAUGUCUCAUUCGUAUUAUUUAUUAUGUUAUUAUGGAUAGAUUAAGAUUAAAAGAUUUUCAAAUUAGAAAUAUACUUAUUUUGUAUGAGACAAGCCAAUAAAAUGAACUAAACGAGUUUGGCACCAUGAAUUUUGUAUCGCGCACAUCAUUUAGUGGGUUCUAGCUAUAAGGUUAUAUAAGAGGGAAUGAAUAAAUAGAAUACGAAAGAAAAAUACAUAAAUAAAAAGGGAUGGAAUUCCAUUUGUACUGUAUCUGAAAUGUAUUUUGGAUAUUUCCACCCUUGAACCCAAGACUUUUUUCUUUCAAUCAAGUAAUUUAACAUUUCGAAUAUGUAUGAACUAUUAACAUUCUCUUUAAACGAGAGGAACCACAGCAUGAACACAUAAAAAAUAAAAGAAGAGGAAGGAUAAUUGAUUUUUUUCUCGACGAGCGAAAUGAGAACAGCCUAAACUGUGAAAACGGGGUUGUGGGAGAGCAAUAAAAGCGUCGUGCUACUAGGCGAAACGGUGGAGUGCUGCACCCUAGAUGGUGAGAGUCCAGUAGCCCAAAACAUCACUAGCUUAUGCUCUGACCCAAGUAGCAUGGGACACAUGGAAUUCCAUGUGAAUUAGCAAGGACAACCUUGUAAGGUUAAAUACUCAUGGGUGAUUGAUAGCGAAGUAGUACCGUGAGAGAAGGGUAAAAAGAACCUCCAUCGGGAAGUGAAAUAAAACAUGAAACCGUAAACUCCCAAGCAGUGGGAGGAGUCCAAAGCUAUGACCGCAUGCCUGUUAAAGAAUGAGUCAACGACUCAUAAGCAAUGGCUUGAUUAAGGGAACCCACCAGAGCGAAAGCGAGUCUUCAUAGGACAAUUGUGGAUAUAAUAUUCAUAUAAAGAACUAAGUGAAAUAAUUCAGUUUAAAGGAAGCCCACUUAGCAAUUUACUAUGUGGACGAUCAAAUUCGGUUGGGCCCACGAAAAAUAUGGACCCAAAUGAUUNNNNNNNNNNNNNNNNNNNNNNNNNNNNNNNNNNNNNNNNNNNNNNNNNNNNNNNNNNNNNNNNNNNNNNNNNNNNNNNNNNNNNNNNNNNNNNNNNNNNNNNNNNNNNNNNNNNNNNNNNNNNNNNNNNNNNNNNNNNNNNNNNNNNNNNNNNNNNNNNNNNNNNNNNNNNNNNNNNNNNNNNNNNNNNNNNNNNNNNNNNNNNNNNNNNNNNNNNNNNNNNNNNNNNNNNNNNNNNNNNNNNNNNNNNNNNNNNNNNNNNNNNNNNNNNNNNNNNNNNNNNNNNNNNNNNNNNNNNNNNNNNNNNNNNNAAUAUAUGCAAUUAUUAAAUUAAAAAUUUUAAUUUUUCGGAUUUUAACCUACUUAAAUCGAUUAUAAACGGAGAUCAUUUUUAUUUUUUAUUUUUUAAUAUUUUUAUUGGAGUAAGAGGCCUUCUCGAAUUUGAAGAAAAUGAGAACAUGGCAUUGUCACCUUAAGCGUGCCGUCGUCAUCGAAUGACGUCAAUUAUUGCCGUUAAGAUGACGGAAUAUUUUUUUUUUUUUUAAAAAAGCAGAAUAAUUAGGAUUUUUAAUACAAAUAAAAAAAAAACAAAUGAUUUUCAAAUUGUAAUAAAUUAAUUUAAUUAAAAUUUGUACAAAUAUGAUAAAUAUUUUUAUUGUCUUGUUUUGGAUCCCAUAUAAAUAAUUUAAAAUAUUUAAAGAAACUAUAACUUGGAUUUUUUUUUUAUUUAAAAAAAUUAUUAUUAUAUACCCAUUUUUUAAUUUUUAUAAUUUGUGAAAAAAAAAACUCAAAAAAUUAAUUUAAAAAAUAGAGACUGAGUUUUACGUGUAAAAUUAUUUUAAAUUUUCACGAUAUUACUCUAAAAUGUAUUAAAUUGGUAGAGUAGGGGGAGUUUCUUUGUGGGGGCAGUACGGAUGGACACAUCAAGAAUAUGUGCCGCCUUAUGAAUGGUAGCCACGCAUGUGGCCUUCCUCCUCUUGUGGUCACUUAUGCUACCCCUUUCAACCAGUCACCGACUCCAAUCUACGUUUUCAACUAGACCCUCCGGUUUAAUUUCAAACUCAGUUUUAUCUAAUAUAAAUAUAUUUAUAUUAAUUAUUUAUUUAACACAUAUUUUCAAUACGUCAUAUUAUCGUCUGUACUAUUUUUAUUUAUUUUAUUAAAAAUUGAUUUAUUUUUUUAAAAUUUUAUAAAUAAAAAUAAAUAUAAAGUUGGAAUCAUAGUGUUAUGUAUUGUACUUAUAAGUGGGAGGGACUAAAGUCAAUUAUUUAAUUAAUAAGGCAUCCUUUAGCGACCUUGGCAUUGUCUUUUAAUUAUGUGUUUCGUUGUUAAGCACCCAACAUGAGGGUCGUGCGUCAAACAAUGUCUUCCAAUUUUUUUUUUUUUAAUUAAUAUCAUAUAAUUUUGAGUAAAGUAAUUCUCCACUAUAAAUUAUGUUAUAUGUAAAUUAAAAAUCCAAAAUCAUCAUUAUUAUUUUGUCACAUUAAUUGUGGAAAUUCAAAUGAAUUGCUGAUGUAGAACCCUAAAUUUUCAAUGUAUAUAUAUAUAUAUAUAUAUAUAUAUGUAAGUAGAAUUUGCCACGACUUCAAUGGGGCAGGAGGAGAGAUCUACCUCAACUCCAAUGGUGGUUACGUAGGGUUUUAGUAUUAACUCUUGGUGGGCUCUCUUAACCUUUCCUAUAAUUUAUUGUGAAUUCACACACAAAGCUUUUCCGCAUCUUAUAUACUCUCAUCAUUAUAUAUACUCUACGCGAUAACUGUAAAAUUCAAAUUUUCUCUUGACACCAUCAACUCCUCUAAUUUUGAAUUCACGACCAAUUUUUUAUAUAUAUCGACAGAAGUUGUAUUGCUUGAUCGAAAAAUUUAAGAGAUUAUUUUAAACCCGAUUGAGUAUUUGAGGAUCGAGUUUCUUGAUACUAAAAUCAUCAAAGACGAUUAUAUAUAUACAAAGCUAAGGUCGUAUGAAUUAUUAAAUUUGACACUUAAAAAGCACUUAAUGUAACGGUGAGCUAAGAAGAGGGGACUAAAUUGAAAAUUUUUAACAAGUAUAGAUACCAAUAUGUUAAAUUAAAUAAAAUUUACAGUGCAUGGAGCUGAGUGUAAACAGCGCGUAAGCCAUAUCAAGAAGGCUACACAUGUCAAUCCACCAUUGGCUCGAGACUUAAUCAAGAGCUUCGUCAACGAAACAGCUACUGUAGUUUGUACUGCAGCCGAUAUCUCGUGCGUCUAUAUAAACAUUGUCCGUCCGAAUUCUUCAUCAUCUUCUACGGAACCUUUCGAACAGGAAUAAACAAAGAAAGUAAAGGGUGCUUGUUUUUUUCUGCCCCAUUAAUCUUUCUCUUUCACUUGUAUUUUUAAUCUACAGUUUAUAUAUAUAUAUAUAUAUCUGGGUUUGUUUAAUGGAAACAAAAGUACUUUCCUCCGGUGUCCGGUACGAAAACUUACCGGAAAAUUACGUCAGACCGGAAUCCGAGCGUCCCCGAUUAGCGGAAGUGUCAGCUUGCCAAAACGUCCCUGUUGUAGACCUGGGUUGUGACGACCGGACCCAAAUCAUCCAGCAGAUUUCCGAUGCCUGCAAGGACUUCGGCUUUUUCCAGGUACAUAUAUACUUAUGUAUAUAGAGAGCGAACUUUGGUCGAUUCUAUUUAUGUGGGUGUGUAUAUAUAUAUAUGUGUGUAUUAUAUUAUAGGUGAUAAAUCAUGGGGUGUCGGAGGAGACAAGGGAUGGAAUGAUAGGAGUGGCGAAGGAGUUUUUUAGUCUGCCGAUGGAAGAGAAGAUGAAGAUUUAUUCCGAUGAUCCGGCGAAGACAACGAGACUGUCGACGAGUUUUAAUGUCAAAAAGGAGAAAGUUCAUAAUUGGCGAGACUACCUUCGUCUCCAUUGUCAUCCUCUUCACAAAUACAUGCCGGAGUGGCCUUCUUCUCCUCCUUCUUUCAAGUAAGUAUGUUCAUAUACAUACAUACAUGCUCCGCCUUCCAUAUCUCGUUAUGACUUUUCUUCUGAAUCAAUUUGAUAUUUUCAGAGUUUCCAACCGAACUGAUGUCACCCACAUUCAUCUCAAAACUCUUAUAUAAAUUUUAGUAUUUUUAAUUGCACCCAGUUCGAAUGCCAAAGUAUUCAUAUAUUAAUUCAAUUGUCAUCGUAUACAUAUACAUAUACAUAUAUAUAUAUAUUAUAUUCUUCCAUGUCUGAAAAUUUUUAUAAAAAUUUGUGUCUUAUUAUAAUAUUCAAAAUGAAUUGUAUCUCAAUUUCAAAUACACUGAAAAGAACACAUGAACCAUAACUCACGUAAAGAAUAAUAAAAUUUAAUUAUAAUUAAAGUACACAUGUAAUGUUACACUUCCCAAAUUUUUUUUUUAAAUAUCAAUUUAUAAAUUAAUAUGCCAACAUAUAUACAUAUAUGUAAACAAUCUAUAAGAAUUAAUUAAAAUUAAUAAUUUUUUAAUCACAUUUUUUUUCUUAAUUUUCGUCUUCUCCAAAUUGUGCCACGUUUUGCCCACGUGAAUUUUGUAUACUUAUAUACAUACCCAAUUGAUCUAGUACAUAUAUAUAUAUAGAAAUAUUGAUGAAAGGCAUUAAUAAUUAAGGAAAGGAUCAAGCCUGUCCCUUUUUAGUCAUAUAGCAAAGGAGGCAGCAUAGGCUUCUAGCAUUUACCACUUCUGCAGCCCUAUAUCCCUAGGUGUAGAUAUGGAUACGUAAGAAUUAUGACGUCAGAGAGGACGUCAUCAUUGAAAAUAUAUAUUUUUUAAUUCAGAUAAAAAAAAACGAAUAAAUGAAUUUAAAAUGGAAAAUAAACGACAAACCGCCGACCGCCGUAUGCUUCCACACAAGACACAGUGACCCUGUCCACAGGUAAUGACGGAAACCAGGAAGGGCCAUGAAUCAGCUUGAGGUGGACGGCUGGGAUCGGGUGUGGACACGAACACCAACACAUGGGAUGUAUGGAAAAAAAAAAAAAAUGAACCCGGUCUUCGGUUGACUUUUUCGAGUCAUCCGACGACGUAAUCCAUGAUUCCGUUUGCUGACGUCAUCAUCCUUCUCGCGUCUUCCCAAAGAUAAAAAUAGAGAUAGACAGUAUUGCCACGUAGGUUACACGUAUGAACACACAUAUUUAGGUGCCGGAGCACCACGUUGUAUACGGUGUCGUUUUUGUUUUUUGCGUAAUAUUAUUAAUGUAUUAGAUUAGAUUAUGUAAAACCGCGUUAACAUCAGCAGAUUUAAAUCAGGUGGCAUGUCUUCCGCCGUUGAUUGGUGCGACAAUCCGGCGGACAGGACAGCUCCGGAAUCUACGUAAUUAUUUUUAGUUGUUGAUAGCUUAAUCAUGUAAUAAUAUUAUAUAAUUUCUCUUGUUGAACGGCAUAUUUUUCAUUGAAUUCAUUUUCUCUUUAUUCUGUGCGAUGUAUAUAUUUUCCAUUGUGUUUUUCUUAACAUUGAUAAUCAUACAUAUGCUUGCAGAGAAGUAGUGAGUAAAUACAGUAUAGAAGUGCGGGAACUAGGAUUGAGAAUAGAAGAAUUAAUAUCAGAAAGCUUGGGACUGGACAAGGAUCUGAUAAGAAAUGUGGUGGGGGAGCAAGGACAGCACAUGGCGGUCAACUAUUAUCCGCCGUGUCCUCAGCCGGAGCUGACUUACGGAUUGCCGGCUCACACCGACCCUAAUGCCCUCACCAUUUUGCUUCAAGACCUGCAAGUCAGUGGCCUCCAAGUUCUUAAAGAUGGCAAGUGGGUCGCAGUUCAUCCCCAACCCAAUGCUUUCGUCAUUAACAUCGGCGAUCAGCUCCAGGUAAUUAAUUAAUCAUUGCGUACACAUACAUACGUACAUACACACACAUAUAUAUAUAUGUAGAGAGUAUUAAUGCAUUGUGGGAUUGAUUUGAUUAUUAACAGGCGGUGAGCAAUGGAAAAUACAAGAGUGUUUGGCAUAGAGCAGUGGUGAAUUCCGACAAGGUAAGAUUGUCAAUUGCAUCUUUCCUGUGUCCGUGUGAUGAUGCAGUGAUCAGCCCACCUAAGCUGCUGACGGCGGAUGGGAGUGUAGCCAUUUACAGGGAUUUCACUUACGCAGAAUACUAUAAGAAGUUCUGGAGCAGAAACUUGGACCAAGAACAUUGUUUGGAACUCUUCAGGAACAAAUAGCCUCUUCUUUUUAAUAAUAUUCCCCGUCAUUUCCAUUUCUUUGCUUCAAUUCUCUUUUUUCUUCCUUCCUUCCUAGUUUUUCAGAUUGUUUUUUGUAUAGAUUUUGUUCUAUAUAAAAACUAAUCUAAUGAUCUAUUUUAAUCAUAAAUUAAGAAAAAAAAUCAUAGCUAUACGUACGUAUGUAUGUGCGUGUUGCUAAUUAAGUCACUCUUGGUAAUUUUAUUUUUUUUCUAUAAAAAAUUAUUACAUAUUUAUUAAUGAAUUUUAAUUAAUUACUAAACAUAUUAAUUUAUUUAAAAUUUCAAUGGGCCACUGGGCUUUAGGCCCAUCAUGGAAGUUCCUUGUUUCAUUUGGGUUGCGGCGUAAAACACGAUGAAGCCCGGCCCAACCGUCAUAGCAAGCUCAUCAUCCAUCCAUCUUUGGAAAAGUUGAACGUGAGUCAAACAAUACGACAUGUGUAUUUGUCGUUUAAUAGAUAAAAUAUAUAUGUUUUUAUAAAAAAUUAUAAGAACAUCAAUUGACAUAAACAUCACAAAGUCACAUCUUUAUUAUAAUUCUCAUCAACAAAAACCAAUUAUGAUCAAACCCAAUUCCAACAUUUCAGCCAAAAGGCCUUUGCUUUAUACUCUUUUUAUGUACCGGAGGUGACAAGACUCUUUUACACGUUCUUAAGAAACUCCAUGACAUAAGUGUCAAAAGCACUGCAAGCUACUCUGAAACCUUGGAACCCGGCUCCCUUGGCCAAUGCCUCAAAUUCCUUCUCCGUUCUUUCUUUGCCACCCGGGUUAUGCGCCAACAUGAUGCAGUCAAUAUGCACAACUAGCUUGGUGGCAAGGCUGGGAUCCGGAGCCACCGGAAGAAUGCAUUCUGCUACAAUCACCUUACCGUUGUCUGGAAGUGCUUCGUAGCAGUUCUUCAAGAAUUUCAAACAGUGAGCAUCACUCCAGUCAUGGCAGAUCCACUGCAAUUACCCACAUUGUUAAUCCAUAUGAAACUUGUGAGUUUAUUGAAAAUUGAAUUUGAAAUUUCAAGAUUCCCAGAAGACCCAUUAUAAGAGUCGGACUGACCUUCAUGAAAAUGGCAUCUGCUUUAGGAAUACUGACAAACAUAUCUCCUCCCACGUGCUCCACACCUGUAAUCAAAACCACUCAUCUCCAUCAAGCCCAAGUGAAAUUUUACUGGUUAACUCCAUUAAAAUUGUUGGGUAAGGUUAAGAAAUGUACUGGGAUAUGUGGGUGCAUCUUCAAUCACGUGGGGCAGGUCAAAGUUGAUGCCUUUAAUUGUAGGGUACUUGGUGACAAUCCUAUUGAUGGUGGCUCCGGUGCCACCUCCGACGUCGACCAGCGAGGUGAGUCCCUCGAAGCCGGUGUAGUCUUCGAGGAUUUUCUUCAUGGUAAUGGUGGAAUGAUUGGACAUUCCCAGGUUAAAAACCUUGUUGAAUCUUGGAUCUGUGCCAUGAUAAUCAAAGGCAGUCAUCCCGUAAGCCCUGUUAAAGGGAAUCCCACCUUCAAGCACUGCAUCUUUCAAGUGGUACCUGUCAAGAAACAGGGGCGAUCAAUGGAUUAAAUUUUUUCCCAAACGCGGUCUAAUUAUAUUCUCUUGUUACAAAUUAAUGAAGUGAAAAAGCGGAUAAAUAAAGAAGAUCAACAAUUGGUUCCUUCUUCACCCCAUUAAAUUCUAAGAUUAGCAUCUCUGUUUCCUCAAUUUUUGCAUUUAAAAAAAAAAAAGAUGUGGAAGUUGAUCAUUUGAACAAAAAAAGUUAAAUAAAUGGAGAAAUUAGCCAAUUACCAGCUUUCCAUGAGAACCUUAUCCUGAUUCAUGAGGCAGAGAGCAGCCAUAGACACACCAUCUUCAUUCUUCGUCAGAAACUUGCAGACCGGGCCGAGACCGUAGAGACGCUCGACUCCGCCGUCGGGGAGGUCGCGGAGCGAGCAGGUGAGGAUCGAAUAAGUCGCCAGCAAGCGCAAGAUCCGGUCAAGCAUGACCGGUGCGUCUGGGUUACUGGUAGGAAGCUGAGAAGCGAUUUCCUUUGAGGACAAGACGGCGCCAGAACCAGCUUUCGCCAUGAUUUCGAGCAGGUCGAGCUCCAAAGAGGCUUUGAGGACCAUGGGAAGAACAGAUGAGCUGGCGAGCUGCAUGGCGAAGAGGUUUGCUUCCUUGUCAGAAACUUGGGCGGGAGUCAUCUGGGUUUCUCCGGUUGAUCCCAUGUUUGAUCUGGAGAUUUUUCUGGUUUGAGUUUCUGAAGGAAGAAGAGAAAUGGGGCUGUGGUUGGCGACGAUGGAGAGACGAGUGUGGUGAUAUAUAUAUUUCUAGAUGGUAUACAGUCAGCAAGCUCACCUACUCUAAUGAGUCACUUUCCCUUAUGAUGGACCCCACUACCCACCACCUAACCCCACCUAAAUUAAUUCGGUAAUUUUUUUUAAUGGAGUUGAAGUUAAAUUUUUGUUACUUUUAUUAUUAAAAAUGUUAGUUAAAAUAUUAAUUUAUUAUUAAUAUUUUUGCAUUUUACUUAAAUUUAUAAAUUUAAAAUUCAUUAAGUACAUUAAUACUUGAUUGCAAUAACAUAUUUAUAAUAUUUAAUUUAACAAUAUUUAUAAUAAUUAAUAGUGACAUAUAUAAAAUAAUUAAUUAUUUACUUUAUUAAUAUAUACGUAGACUUCUACUUAUCAUUUUGGACUUAAUUCAAACAAAUUAUAAAAUAUUUAAAAUAAUAUUUUGUAAUAUUUAAAUUUUUUUUACCCUCUAUUUAAAUCAUGAUAAAUAAUAGAAUUUUAAUAUAUAAUAUUUUACAGUCGUAAAAAAAUUAUGUUUGUUUCAACUUUCAAUGUUAACAAAUAAUAUUUAAGUGGUAAAAUUUGGGAUGAAUUUUUAAACCACCAAAUUUGUGGUAUUUGAUGAACAUUUUAUUUGUUUACCAUUAUAUCAUAAUAUAAUAUAAUUAAUUAUAUAUGUAUACUGAUAAUUAAAAAUUUAUUAAAAUAAUAUAAUAAUAUAAAUAAUAAUUAUUUAUUUUAUUAAAUAUAAAAUUUUAAUUUUAUUAUGUAUAAUAAUUAUUUAUUUAAAUAUAAAUAUAAUUAUAUUAAUAAAUAAUUUUUAUUUUUUUAUAUUAUUUAUUAUUAUAUAUGAUAUAUAAAGAUAAAUUAAUAAUUUAAUUAAAAAUAUAAUUAUUUUAUCGUAUCGUUUAAAUAAAAAUAUGUCAUUAACAUACAUUAAUAUAUCAUCAUCUAAACAUAAAAAAAUUUAACAUUAUAAUUAUAUGUUAUUGUUAUUUAAUUAAUAUUAUUAUUAUAUAUUAAUUAAUUAUCACUAAAUUUAUUCAAAAAAUAAUAAUCACAACCAAAUUAUUGUCAGGUAGGAAAGAGGUGCACAUGCACUGUACUUGGGAUUUGGCUACCAUACAAUUAAAUAAGUUGGUACGCAUCAUUAAACAAAAAACUAGACAUAAGUUUCUUGAUAGGUGGGUCCCAACCACUAGGUUUGUUGAAUGGUGGAGCCCACACCUUUGGUAUACUAAUAUUUUAUUACUAAUAAUAUAUAUUGGAUAAACUUAUUUAUAUAUUUACUGCUUAAAUUGGUCAAAAGAGGCGGAAUUUUUUUUUUUUUUAUAUAUUUUGAUUUCAAUUAGUGCGGGAGUCACGUGGUAUUUGUUAGUAUAUUAUAUAAAUACGACAAACACGACGGCGUUUCAUUAUCUUAUAUUAUGAUUAUUAUAUUAUUAAUUAUAAGGUGGUUGGUAAGAGUGAGUCUGAGGUGUAAAAUUCUGAUUGGCUAACAAAUUUGGCUGCUCGGGCUUCGUAGUCUCGUUUUGACCAGUCAAUAACAUCUCACCCACUAUUUCCUCCUCCGCACCGCACCACACCUCGUGCACCUUUUUUUUUAAAAAAAAAAAAAAUCAAAUAGAAGUUAAAUUAAAAUUAUACUAUUUGUGUAGUUAUAAAAUAUAAUAUAAACAUUAUUAUAUAUGAGUAAACUUAUACUGAAAUAAAUAUAUUUUUAAUAAAAAUAUAAAAAUUAUCAUAUUUAAAUUUUUAGUAAAAAUUUACAUAAAUAAAUUAAAUAUGAUAAAAACGUGUGACUAAUAACUUAUCUAGUAUAUAAUUUCAAAAUCUAUGACAAUAUUUUAUUUUAUUUUUUUAAAACUACAUGGAGAUAUGUCUUUCUCAAAAUUUAUUAUUAUUUUUUAAAAUAAAUAAUUAAAUAAUAUUUUAUCUCAAAUUAAAUAUAAAAUAUCUGUAGAGAUAUUAUCUCAAAAAUAUAAAUAUAAAUAUAAAUAUAUAUAUAUAUAUAUAGAUUAUCUUGUUUAGAAAUAUAAUGAAAAAAAACAUCGUGUAUAAGACAUAAGAUAGUUUUACAAUCAUCAACAACAAAUUUGAAUUCAUAGUAAUAUUUUUCUUUGGACAUAAACACUGCAUGCACUAAUUGAGCAUUAGUCUCAUUCACCCUUGGACCUUGAAUAUUUACGACAACGAAAGAGAGUGCACUCCGGCAUCCUAACAACUCCUCAAAUAAAGGAUAUCGACACCCUUAAAAUUUCAUAGAGAAUAUACUGAUUACGUUCUCCUCAAAUAAUUGUCAUAAAUCUAGCAUCGUUGAUUGAAUUAUUAACCGUUCCGUCCACAUUAUAUGUCCAUAGCCCUUGGUCCGUAUUCCACUCGAUUUCUAUUUUUAUCUUUAAUUUUUUUAAAAAAUAAUUAUUAUAUAUUUUAUAAUUAAACGAUAAAUAACCAUUGUUUUUAUUUUAAUAUAUUUAUAAUUAUUUUUAUAUUAUAAAAAUAAAAUAUAUAAUUAUUAUAUUUUAAUUAUAUUAAAUAUAAAAUUAUUUCAAAAAAUGAAAAAUUGACACAUGUCAGUUCCUGGUAUUCCUUAUAUGUAUAUGUGUGUGUGUGUGUGUUAAUUGAUAUAUUGAUUAUGUAAGCAUGAGUUUGAGUCCAAUUAUAAUUAUAAAUGGGUUUAUUAAUUUAAAAAAAAUCUUUAACAUUGAAAUGGUAUUUUAAAUAGAUAUUAUAAGCUAGUUUGACAGUAUGGAAUCUUGGACUGCGACCUGCGAGAACGACGUCGUAGGACUGUGGCACCACUCCCCUUCCUAUCCAAGCAGCUUCCUUCCUCACUUCAUACGUUACUUGUUUUCUCACCUUUUAUCUUUAUAACUAUAUACUCUCAAACACUCAAGUUCAUGUACUUAUUUUCAACGUACAUAUUUUAUUUAUACAAUAAAAUUCAUAUGAUAAAUACUUAUAUAACGUAGAUGGUGGCCAAACUAACCUAACCAUAUUACUUUUAUUUUUAGAGCUCCUAAUUGAUGAAUUUUUUGUUGAAUUUUUUUUUUGUUGGUUUAAUAAAUGAGUUUAAUGUAUACUUUUUUACUAUUUGUAACAUGUAACGAUUCUGAAAAUUCAAAAUGAAAUAUAUAAUAAUUUAAGUGCGGAAACGAAAUAAAAAAUUAAGAUUUAUAUUCCUUAUAAAAUAAUUUAAAAAUACUAAAUAAAUAUUACAUAAUGAAUUUUUUGAAAGAAACACGAGAAAUACGAAAAAUAAUAGAAAAUAAAAAGUAUUUAACAUCUACUCGCAAUCUUCAUGCAGAUUGGACUCUGUAACCAGGUUCUCUUGAUUUGAAAUGAUUAAAUAAAUGAUGAGUUACACUAACCCAGUAAAAAUAUCACACUAUAUCACCGGCACAAAAAUAAAGGUUGAUAGAAAAUUAAAAUAACUAAUAGAGCACUAAAUUUAGUAAAUUCGUUUAUCAAUCAUAAAAUCAUUUACCGUUCACUUACCAUUGUAGAAUUUAUAAAAAUAACCUAUAGAGACAAUAAUAUCAUACAGAUCAUAACUUCAUGUACAAUCAGUAAUAUAGAACAUAUCAUAAAUUCAUAUUCAUUAACAAUAAACAAAAUCAUAAUCAUUUCUCCUUUCACCAGCCUACUAGUAUCCAUGGGGGUUCAUAAGGGUAUCCCCAUUACACGUGAACCAUUUUCCUUAACAAUCUCAAUUACAGGGCUAUACACAUACCCCGUCCGGUAUGAGCACCAAAACAUUAAACCUCAAUAUCCCAUCCGGUAUGAGGGUGAAGAGGAUUGUUCCCAUACCUCGUCCAGUAUGAGACAACGUUCACGGUAGAGUUUCCUAUGAACCCAGUCCGUCCACCAUCUCCCAGUAUAUCUAGUGAGACUGUCAUCCUAUCUGUUUAUUUGAUCACAUCAAUUUCUUAUUUUUCCUUAGUCUCCGUUACCAAAUCAAAUAUAAUCACAUAAAUAAAUAAACAUGCAUCUGGUAAUGCAAUCAUGUCUUAAAUCCCAAAAUCAAAUAGUGGUCAGGUAAGACAGUAAUACAUGCAUUUAAACUAUAAAGUAUAUAAGCCAUAUACCAUCAUGCUUUUAGAUUGUAAAAUAAAUCAACAGAGAAUAAUGUCCGAUUCGGGCUCCAUUAGCAAUCGAUAAUUAAUUAUACAAAUUUAUUUAAUUUGUACAAAAUACCAUAUUAUUAUUUAUUCAAACUUCAAAUUUAUGAUGAGAAAUACGGUAAGGGGUCAUUACUUGAUUUGACAUCGAAAAAGUAAAUAGUUUACUGCAUUUACGGGCGGUUAUUGGGUUCCAUAAAUUUUUAUUCGGAAAUUGAAACGUGCUUAUAGUACUUACAAAUGUCCUAAAUAAACCCAAAAAUUAAUCUCCGGGUCUAUUCGGCUAAUUUCAGAAAUCCAGCACGCGGCUCCGCCCUGUUUCGGGGAGGGCGCCGCCACUCGGGGUGGCGGUCCGCCUCGGAUCGACUGUUUUUGGUUGAAUUUGGUCGAUUUUGUAGCACCCGGAAAGGAGGAGGAAAAAAAAAAAAGCCACAUCAGCAGCCACGUCAGCAGGCCCGGUCAGCAGUCCCGGCCAACCAGGACAUGCCACGUGACAAUACCACGUCGUUCCAGAAAGGGCCACGUUGGCAAUCCGCGUGGGCGCGAUUGGACGGCCCAGAUCAGGCGGACGAUCGGACGACCCAGAUCUAAUCACACGGACGGCCCAAAUUUAAUCAAAAACGGACGGCCCAGAUUAAAUCAAAAUGGACGGCUGAGAUCAAAGGGCAAGAGGUUAUAAAGAGAACCCCCACACCAGACCACAAACCCUAGCCGCCUGCCGCUCGCCGGAGAAGACGAACCAGAAGCCGGCCGCCGCCACCCGCCGCCGUACCGAAGGAAUUUCCGACCGCCGAUCGAGGUAAAUUUCGUACCCCCGACUCGUUUUUCCACGCUGAUUCCUCCUGUGGUCAAAUCGGAGCCAAAAUCUCGGCCAAACGGCCGGAAUACGCGGCCGAAGCCCAGCGGCGCCGCCGCGCCCCUUCUCAGUUUUUACCUCCGAUGAGGCCCUUCCCGGCCUCCGUUUGAUGCAAUUUUUAUAUCACCGUGAUCACCAUUCUUUUCUCUACAGGUUGACCGGAGCCGAAUCACCAAAAUACGAACCUCGCCGGAGAGCCGCCGCACCCGAGAGCGCCGCCGCCGGUAAGCUCCAUUUUUCCGUGAUUUUUUGGCCCCCCGAGGGCCCUAGGGUUGUUUUCUCACAGGGACUGAUGCGAGUGUGGCCGAAUUCGGCCAAAAACGGCUGAAAACAGCUAACUCGAGGCGACUCGCCGCCGCCAGCGGCGGCGCCAUCGCCGGAGCACGGCGGAGCCGCCGUGCCGGAGUUGUGAUUUGGGCCGAAAGAGGCCCUGGGCCUAAUUUGGGUUUUUUUUUGAACACGUGCAGGUACCAGUAGUGCGUUUCAGUUCCCCGAGGAAAAUUCAGGGAAAAUUAGGGACAGCCUGCAAGCGCACUGUGAAGCCGUGUUCGGACCCCGAAACGAGUAAGGACCCCUCACCCUAUUUCCUAUCACGGUAUUAAAGUUCAAAAUGAUAAAACGGUAUUUCUUGAAUUAACGAAUGUGUGAAAUUGCUUAAGGUGGCUAAUGGAGCCCGAGUCUAGUGUGAUUGGUGAUUUACUGUUAUUUGACCUGUUUACAGCUUUAAAUGCAAAAUGAGGUGUGAUGUGUUCAUUUUACAGAUUUGUGUGCAUAUACUACGUUUUUAUUAAUUAUGGAUUGAAUGACUGAAAAACUGAUACUGUAUGUUGUCUGUUUGGCAUGAAUUACGAUUUGCUUGUUUAAAUGUGAAUUGAUGAUGCUGACUGAGGAAAAGAAAAAUGAAAGAUUGUGUAGACUGAUAAUUGUAUUAUGGGGGUCAGCCUAACUAGAUAUCCUGGGAGAUGGUGGACGGACCGGGUCCGUAGGGAACCCUACCGGAAUUGUGGUCUCACAUGCCGGACGGGGUAUGGAGAUCUUAUGGUUUUGGCGCCCAUACCGGACGGGGUAUGGGGACGGCCCGUUUCACCCUCAUACCGGACGGGGUAUUGAGGUUUAUGGUUUUGGCGCCCAUACCGGACGGGGUAUGGGGACGGUCCUGGAAACUGAUUAUGAAUGUUAAAGGUUAAUGGGUAGCGGGACCCCUAUGGACCCCCACGGAUACUAGUAGGCUGGUAAAUGAGAAAAAGAUAUGUUGUACAAUGAUUGAAUUACAAGAGGCGUGAUAAGUGUUAUGUUUUACAGCUUAUAUUAUUCCAUGAUUAUGAUAAUGUUAUUGUUUUCUUAUAUUGUUUUCAUAAAUUCCACCGAGGUAAGUGGAUGGUAAAGGUUUUUAUGUUAAUAAGCAAGUUUAUUGUAAAUUAUGCUCCAUUGGUCUUUUUGUGUUUUCUACCCACCUUUACCUCCGUGACGGUGAGAUAUCGUGAUGUUCUUACUGGGUUAGUGUAGCUCACUCCUUAUUUAACCAUUUCAGAUCAGGAAGACAUGGUUCCCGAGCCCGUUCCGCAGGAGGACGACGAAAGGGAUGCCUAGAGACUCUGUAGUCAUGCUCAUAGCUUUGUUUUCGAGUUUCUCUUUUAGUUAGUUUAACCUUUUAUAAUUUAAGUACGUUUUUGGUUUUCGUGUAAGGGAUGUUAACUGAAAUUUUGAUCUCGCUUCCGCAUUUGAUAUAUUUAAAUACUCAUUUCAUUUUAAUAUUUCCGGGGCCGUUACAGAUUUUAUAUCGAUUCCUGCGAGCACACAAACUAAAGAGCCUCGGUGAGCCGAAAAAAUAGGAAAAAUCAAAACUAUCUGGUGCAGCAGCUCAUCUGGCUCAUGUUGCGGUUGGGUGUUUCACUUCGGUCAACCUGUAGAAAAGAAAACGGUGAUCACAACGGUGAAAAAAUUACGCGAAACGAGAAUCGGAAAGGGUCUCAUCGGAGAUGGUUUGUGAAAUUCUCCGCGGCAGCAGCGGCGGGCUUUAGCAGUCUUUUCCGGCCAAUUGGCUGGUUCUUUCACUCUGAUUUAGCCAUGGGUGGGUUUAAAUUUGGAUUUCGUGCAAACCUUUUCCGAUCGCGAAAAAAAUGUAAAAAAAAUUUUUUUACCUUUUUUUCGCGAUCGGAAAAGGUUUCGGUGCUGCGGUGGGUAGUGGCGGUCGGCUCCCCGGCAACUGGGUUGUCUUCUUUGCUAGGGUUUGGGUUUGGGUGCGUAUGAGGUUAUUCAUACCCAUACGCUUUUGAUAUGAACCGUCAAUUACUUUUAAUAUGGACCGUCCGAUUAUGAUUAAAUAUAGAGUGAAUCUGAAUUGUUCAUUGUGAUUCAAUCUGAGCCGUUCGUGAGCUCGUGCGCGUGGGAACGAACCUCAGUUGUUCGAUCGCGCACACGUAGAUCGCCCACAUGGCCUCCCGCGUCAGCACUUCUGCCACUUGGCAUAUCCUGGUUGGUCGGGGCUGCUGAUCGGGCGUUUGACGUAGUGCAAUUUUUUUAAAUUACAUUUUGACUCUCAGUUUCUGAUUUUUCUUUAAAAAAUAUCAUCAGAAUCUAAAAUUUCACUAUUUUUUCCCAAAAUUAUUUUCAAUUUAAUCUUUUAUCAAUUUAUUUAAUUUUUUUCCAUUAAAUUAAAAUAAAAUAAUAUACAAAUAAAAUAAUUAAAAAAUUAUAUUUAUUAAUUAAAAAAAAAAGAAAUUUUAGGUGGGUAUUACAUAACAUGCUAUUUAUUUAUAAACCCGGUUUAAAAUGAUCGAAUACGGUUAAAUUGAAUUGAGUAUUAAUGCAUGGGACUUAGAUAUAUGCUUAAUAUGUGCGGACAUCAUUUUUAUAAUUUUUUAUUUUUUGAUGAAUAAAAUGAGAAAUGCAAAAGUAUGUCGAUAUAAAUAGGCAUUUAUAAUUCUCGAAUCACACGCGCGUCAUUUUAUUUUUUUAAAAUUCAGUCACUAAAAAAAAAUAAUUUUUGAGAUUGUGUGUUGAUUCAGAAGCAUCUAACCUAUGAAGCAAUCAAAUCUUCUUGCAUGUUUAGAUUUAUCAUAUCAUGAUUUAAUUUGAAAAAGUUUUCUAAUAUCUUUUAUUUUAUAUAAAUUGUGAAUAUGAUUGAAACUGUAAUAUCUUAUUUAUAAAUAUGUGAUAUUAACUAAUUAAAAAUGUAGUUUUAAUUGAAAUUUUACACAAUUUAAUUGAGAUUAUUAUAUAUAAAAAAUAAAAAUUGCACCUAAAAACUGAGGGAUUCUUGCACACAAAAUAAUUGAUUAUAGUUAAAAUACACACAGCAAUUAAUGUAUAAUUUAUUAUUAUUUUAUAAUUAAAAUUUUAAUUGGACUGCAGUCAAAUAUAAUAACGGGCUUCAGUCUAUUACAAGGGAGAAGAAAGCUUUAGCCUUUUAAGCCUUCUUCGUUCACGGGCUCUAUAAUAACGGGGUUCAAAACCAGACCCAACAAUGGAGGAUGAAAGAAUCCAGAACAAGUCCAAUAUAAAAUCAGAAACCCUUAAUUCCUUAUCAUCGCCGAACUCCACGCCAACUCUUUCUCACUCUCCAUUUAUUAUCCCUCUACACAACGAACCUUAGAACUCAGCCAUGUCGCCCGCUCCAGCUGUUGAAGCCGCCGACCUUCAGAUUCCUAUCACAGACGAGCCGGAGAAGAAACCUCAGCAUCUGGUAUUGCAUGCAUGAUGGUUUCUGUUUUUUUUUUUUUUUUUAAAUGUAUUAAAACAUGUUUUUUUUAUUGUCUGAUGGUUUUGUCCGCGAAAUGACUUGCAGAGCGAUGAACCCGUGGUUGAGGACGUAAAGGACGACGAUAAGGACGAGGAUGACGACGAAGAUGACGACGAUGAAGAUGACGACGAGAAAGUAGAUGGAGCACAAGGUCCUUCCUUUCCCCUUUACAUUUUAGGUUUUUGCUUCGAUUGUCUUGUUCGUUAUGGGUAUUGUACGUUGUCUCUUCAUAUAAUUUUUUUUAGAAUGAUUAUCUGAUUCUUGUAUACGGCAGAACAUAGGUUCCUCUGGAUCUAUCUGGAUGUUGAUGUUAUUUCACUGGGUUUACUGUCAAUUUGUUAGGGCAUUUUCCUGGAAAAUUAACUAGAAACUUAUCACGUUUGCUAUUAGGUCAAGAAGGAAUUUGGGUUUAAAUUUUGUUUCUGAAAAGAGUGUGGUGAACAUGGAUUUUUUUUUUUUUUUUUUUGCGCUUUGGUUAUUGUUUAACUUCAUUGCUUAGGAGCUGCAGCAUUAUGGAAAUUCACUUGCUUAUGGACAUAAGAACUGUUAUCGAAUUGAAAGUUAUCUUAUUUGCGAGAAUUAAGGUUCUGCCUUGCCUUUUGCUAUCUUUAAGCUUCAUAUCUUCAAAUAAGUCAUCAUGCUAUGGCUCGUCUUGGGGGUUUUUCUUUAGCUGCAUAGAUUUCAUUGGUUGAAUUGGAUGUAUUUCAACUUGUUUGUAGCAAUUUUAAUGUGUCAGUCCUAACAGGGUUUUUUGGAGAAGUAAAUUCUUCCAAGUUUUUCUCUCGUUAUUUCUUUAGUUCAUUUUCAGUCAUGAUAACAGAGGAUGUGUGAUUUUUCGGACUUGUUUCGCCACAGACACUGCAAUCAUCAACUGUUUUGUAAUUUGAAGUUCAUAUAUUCUAACACAUGAGAAAUGAUAUAUUUUGUGUUUCUGUCUUUUUUUCCAAAUACAUGCUUUGAAAAGUAGUCUUGUUGCCAUUUUUAGUUGCAAUUGCCACCUUUUAUGUUUUGUUUCGAGCUGUCUUUUUACUCGACAAAUUGGGUACAGGUGCAAAUGGGAGUUCGAAGCAGAGCAGAAGUGAGAAAAAAAGUCGGAAGGCAAUGUUGAAGCUUGGCAUGAAACCUGUCACUGGCGUUAGCAGGGUGACAAUUAAGAGAACAAAAAACGUUAGGCUUCGGUUUUGAUAUGAUAUUUUUUAUGGCUUACCUGAAUGUUUUAUCUUGCAAGAACUAAGGUGAUUUCCUGGACCUGUAGAUCUUGUUUUUCAUUUCAAAACCCGAUGUCUUCAAGAGCCCACAUUCCGAGACUUAUAUCAUAUUUGGAGAGGCUAAGAUAGAGGACCUGAGUUCUCAGCUGCAGACGCAGGCUGCUCAGCAGUUCAGGAUGCCAGACAUGGGAUCUUCUCUCCCAAAAUCAGAUGCUUCUGGUGCUGCUGCUGGACAAGCCGAUGAGGAAGAGGAGGAAUUUGACGAAACUGGCGUGGAGCCUCGUGAUGUUGAUUUGGUUAUGACACAGGCAGGCGUUUCGAGAAGCAAGGCUGUAAGGGCUCUCAAGAAUCACGAUGGAGAUAUUGUUAGUGCCAUCAUGGAACUUACUACUUAGGGAGCUCUCAUGCUGUUCUGCAGAUGCAUGAAUUUUUUGAACUAAUCUCAAAAAUUGAGUCACCAUAGUUAGGUUAUUUUCGGUUGAUGAGUAAUCCUUGUCAUUUUUAAUUUCCUGACUUUGUGCUUCGAUACUUCACGGGCAAUUAAUUAUUCAACAUUUCACUAGGGUUUUGUGAUGAUGCAAGGGUUCCAUCAUUUUCGUGUUCUAUCUUGUCAUGAAGGAACCGGAAUCACUAACUAAAGUUGGCAGAGAAAGAUCUGAUGAUAUGUAUAUAUAUAUUGAUGUGUGUAUUUAUGUAUUUUAUUCUCCUUUUCCUAUUACAGAAUACUAGUCAUUACCAUUUUAAAUAAAACCCAGUGGGUUGGAUCUCCCCGUUCUCUCUACUCUCUAACUAGCCGUUCACCACUCUGCAAUGUGCUCGAAUCUCUCCUGCGGCCCCCGUCAAGAUAUCAAGCUGGCCCAUCUUGACCAUUGCCGCUGCAAAUUUCGUCCUCCAAAGCAGGGCGUUCCUGGCAUUUUGGUGGACUUGAGUUGCUGUUGCAGGGCUUGUGAGCAGCGUAGCAUCUGAGGUGAACAAGCUCCGGUUUGCCAGCACAUCCGCGUAGUAGGCUGUGUCGGUCACUACCGGGGUAGCUGGGUUCAUGUUUACCACCACGUUUGGAUUGGUGCUCUUUUGCGGACACUGCUUCUUCAAUUGAGCUGCGUAAAUUGUGUCCAGACUCGGGUCCUGCUUAUUCGUGCCGCUGAAAUUGUAAAGUCUGGCACUGAAUGAUGUGCAGUGAGCUCGCCCUAUGGUGUGCGCUCCUGUAUAACACAUGUAUAUAUUACCUCAGAUACGUAUUUAAAACAUAUACAUGUAUGUAUACACUGCAUGUAGUAAUUACCAGAGAGAGUAACCAUUUCUUCCUGGGUGAAACCCUUGCUGGCAAAGAGUUGAGUGAGUUGAUUAAGGUUAAAAGUUGGGGGAGGUAAGAUUCGUGUUUCUGAAGCUACAGAAAUCCUGCCGUCUCUUCUUCCCGCUGGAACAUCAUAAACAGGCCCUCCUGUCUACACCAAAGAAAACGAUAUAAAAAUUGAUUUAUACAACAAUUAGUAAAUAAAAACAAAGAAAAUUAUAAUUCAGAGAGUAUUAAGUAAAAAAUAGUUCUUACAAUCUGGAUACUAUCUCUUGCGGCGAAAGCAAUAAUAUCAGCACAUGAAACAACUCCUCGACAAACAGCUUCAAGUCUAGUCUUGACACUAUCUAUGACUUCAAUUCCUCGAAGACUCGGAUUAUUGACAGGUGAGUCUUUCUCUGCCUUGUUCGUAGAAGUCGAGUCGAUAAGCACCGAGCCAUCGCAGCCCUGAUUUAAUCAUACAACAAAGAUCGUUAAAAACCAAGAAGAUCUAAAUUUUCAACUACAAGGUUGAGAGCGAAAAACUUAUUUGUCUCGAAAGUACUUACUCUAACAAAACAAUCAUGAAAGUGCAUUCUAACGAGUCCAGCUGCUAUUCCUUUGUCCUUAACAAAUGCUCUUUGAACUUCAUCCUUAACGAUAAACUCGACUCGGCCACAUGAAUUUUGAUAGAAUCCAACCCUGAGCUGACUCAAAACAUUUUGUAGGCUACAAAUUAUCACAAUAGCAGCCAAAGUUACCACUGCUCCAUUGUUACUCUUCUUCCCACUCAUUCUUUUGAAUUGGUACCCUUCAAUUCUAACUUGGUUAAUCACUUCCCAAUGUUUACCUUAACCCAUGAUCAAACUGCUAUUACGCAAAUUUAUAGUUGAAUUUAGGCAUUAAUUUAUGGAAUUGAGUGUCCCACUUAAAAUUUAGAGAUCACCUUAAUAAGUCAAUUUGAUUUAGUAGGGAAAUAUAUAGUCUUCUAGAUUGUUGUUAGUGACUAGAGCAUUAAAUUUGAUUGGUAAUUAUUAAUUAGUGUUUAAUUAAGCAGUUAACAUAUUAUUAUUUAUUCUAUAAGAAGUCAGCAGGUUAGUACAUUUUUUUUCUUUAUAAUAAAGUAGGUUUGAAUUAGAUUCCAUUUCUGUAUGUGUUCUUGUUUUGAGGUUAUUUCUAUUGUAUUAUACUUGUUGUGUAUAUAUAUAUAUAUAUUUAUCACCUUAUUAAGUAAAAGUUACUUGGUAACGUCUCUUUUGAUUGGCAGAGUCGAUUUGAUGACAAUUUGAUGUUAUAUAAAACACACUACUACAUAGUCCCAAAACCAGCAGAAUUUACGGUGGGGGAGUUGGAUAUAAGCAGGAUGUUCGAGUCAACCUCAGGCCACUGUAGCUUCCAAAUAAAUCCAAUCAUCUCAGGAGUUGUUUGGAGGUGAAUCGGAUCAAUUAAUUUCUGCGUUGAAAGUAUGUGAAAUUUUUAUAUUAUGUAUAAGAGUGGUUUCACCUGAUAGUCUUUCUGGUACAUGUAUUUCCAAAUAUUUAACAAAGAAUGCUGAUGCAUCAGCAUCUUGACUUGGCAUACCCUAACAAUUGAAAUUGAAUCCAUCCAGGAAAAUCCAAGAUUUGGGUACAAGGUCAAUUUAGGAAAUCCAACAAACUGAUUGAAAAUAUAUCAAUAUAUCUAACCCAAGUUGGUUUCUGGUUCAUCCCUAAAAAUUGUCUGACAAAUUAUACAGAAACUAUCAAUCAACAACUGAAUAUGGUUGAUAAUUUUCAGAUGAUAUCGCAAACAUGGUUAUGAUUUGUGUGUGUGUGCGUGUAAGCACAAUGGAUCAGCCACCAACAUCAAAAGCUAACAAGUAAUGGAAAAAAGGGACUAAAAUAAUCAGAUAACGUUUCAGCCAAUUCAAAUAAGUAGCAAAAUGGUUAAACAAGUCUAUGGAAAAACAAGUUUCUGGACAAGAUAAUCCCUUAUUGAGUUUUCCCAAAGUCUGGUAACUACCUCCUUCUACACAUGCUCCCAAUCAGAUGAAGAGCCAUCAUAAAUCCCUGGACAAGAAGAAACUUGACUCCCCAACAUGUUGGUUCUGUAAGGUUGGACCAUGGCGUCGUCCUUAACAUGAAGAUAGAACUCUUUCACGGUUAACUCAUCCUCAAGAUAGUUGGCAACUUCACUUUCGGAGACAGGUUGCGUUCUUCUUUCAGAAGUUUGCCCUUCUUCUCUGUCCUUAACUUUUUCCUCCUCGAGACACUUGAAGAUUGACCAAUGUGUUAUGUCACAUGCAAAACUCGGGCCAGGACCUUCUUGCAUUUGUUGCUGUUCCGCAUUAAUGGAACUUGAAGUUUCAUCGCGGAGCUUCAGGAUAUUGAAUCUAGCCAUAGCCAGAGCAUCAACAUCAUCCAAUUGACUGGUUCUGCUUGAAACAGGGAAAUCCUGGAUGAUAUCUGCAGUGGGACUACCCUUAAUUUUCUCAGUCGAAAGAUUUUCAACCUUGUCCAAGUCAGAAGAAACUUUGGACCAUGAGUCGUUUUCUGUGUCUACAUCAUCCACAGAAUUUGGGCUGUUAAUCUGGAGUUUUAAGAAAUCAUUAAAAUCUAAGUUGAUGCCAGCUCUGUCCCUAGGCUCUGAUUUUCCAACCAAGUCUGGCUCAGGGGAGUCCUUUGAGAUUAUUAACUUGCCUUCUUCAAUGGCAUUCAUGGACAUCGAUUCGUGAACCUUAAAUCCAGUCAUAAGAUCUGUCAUCUGGCUGCCUGCACCUAUGGCAACAGAAUCCUGAACAGAAGAAUCAGCAGCCCUGCUACACCUCACAACAGCUUCUAAAUUUUCAAAUGUGUUUGAACCAGGAGGUAGCUUAGACCUUGAUGGUGACUCUGCAUCUGUAGACUUUUCUGAAAAUUUUGAACAGGACAACAUUAAAUGCAAGUUAUAUAGCAGGAUUUUGCAGUAAAGUUUUAAGAUUUUAAUUGAAACAAAAUGGAUUGAAUAACGAUUUUGCUUAAGGUUGCAACCUUCUGUCAUUUGCAAUUGUCCUUUUUCCAUCUCUGUCUUCAUUCGAGUAAAGCGAGCCAUGUAAGUGAUAGAACAUAACGCAGCUUCCGCCUCCAGCCAAAGAUUCUUAUAGAGAAGAACUUGAGGAUGAGUUUCCUCUUCAUCAGGAAAAUUUUCAAUAAGAACUUUCUUUAUAGCCUGAAAAUUAUUAUGAUCCGUUAUAUGACCUUUCUGCUUCCAGAAAGAGGAAAUAUUGAUAUAUAAUCAAUAAAAAAGAAAAAAGAAAAACCAAAGUAAUAAGCACCUGGGUCAUGUUAUCAUUUUUCACCUCUUCUGCAUCAGCAGAAACACCAUGAUGAUUUUUUACCUCCUGGGAACUCUGUUUGUGGAACUUACCCGGAACACAAGCUGCAGCUACCUUUGACAUCUGAGGAUUAAACAUACGUUGACCCUCAAGACAAUAAUAUUUAAUGUAAGGCAAAAUACUGAACCGUUAUGAAAUAAAAUUUUUAACUCCAGUAAAAUAAAUCUUAUUUUAGGGGACAGAAUUGAUUUUGACAGAAAGAAGUAUCAAAGAGAAAUCUGCAGCAGCAGACUGAAAAGGGCUAUACUAGUAAAAAUUCAAUACCAAGUAAUGAACUAAUUCCAACUCCGUGAUUCUAUCUACACGAAAAGGAAAAAUUGUGAAUGUAGACCUUAACGCCACAAUUUACCUUCUUCUGAAUUCUCUUGGAAUAUCCAAGAAGGCUGCAAAUUAUCUUCAUUGAAUGACUUGUUGGGUAGGGUAUCACAUUUACUCAGUUCAACAUCAUCAGAAGAUUGAGUCACAAAAAUAGAGCUUGGUUCUGCCUGGUUGGAUCCCACUUUCAUAGCAUCAUUCGGUCCAUGUUCUCUAGAUGAAAAACUAGAAGUCGAAGGUCUAUUUGAAGGAGAUGCUAAACUGUUGUACAGACACUUACUUUUAUGGGCAACAGAAUCUUCACUUGGAUUCAGUGAGGAGGUUUUUGCAGCAUCAUCAAUAUUAAGAGGACAAAAUGGGGGACCUUGGUGAUUGUAGCUGUUGGAACCUUCUAGCUUUUUUGUAAGCUGUAAAGUAGAAAGUUCAAGAACGUCAAGUGAUCUAUAGUGAGGAACAGGAGCUCCUUUCCAGCACGGUGAAUCCAAAUGAGGGAUAUAAUGAUCUAAAUGUUUGGAAGGAUUUUCAUCUCGAUUGAUGGUUUUAUCAUCAUCAAGUGCCCAAGCCAACUCAUCAGUACAAAUAUUAGAAUCUUGAAAGCCAGAUGUUUCUCCAAAGAAAUGAUCCAAUGCAUCCUUGCAAAUGCUUCUUUCUUGCAGGUCAUUGUCUGUUGAGGGACUUUUGGCAAAGAUGCGAUCAGUUCCUUCCAAUUGAAUGCAAUGCUGGCUUGAAGGAAAAAAAUAUUUUUCCUCAAAGCUUGGAGAACUAAAAGAUUCCUUCCAAUUAUGUUGAUCACAAGCAAAAUUCAUAUAAACUUUGUCACUGCCGCCAUUUCCAUUUUUAACCGAACUUAUCUUUUCUAUUGGUUCUGAGGAACAGGUGGCACUACCUGGCGGCACCAGCCCAGGGGCAAACUUCAUUGACAGGAUGCUAUUGUUUGGAUUAUUGCCCGGAUGUUUCAUACCUUUCUCAUAUGAACCACUGUAUGUGACUUGAUUGACCCUGGAAUCAAUUUGUUUUAGAGAUGGUUCCAAUGGACAGCUUUCAGGAAGUACUGAAGCAGAUCCUGAAAUUGGGGUUUUCAAAUAAUCAAAAGCCAUCAACCCAGUCCUUUUCUCUGGGACAGACUUAAAAUCUUGAUGUCCAGGAAUAGCACACUCGAUAGGGUUUUCACUAAGAUGGCCACCGUGAGAAGUUUCUCCAUAGUUGUUUAGGCCAUUGGAUGCAUAAGCCCCUGCACAGUAUUGGCUAAUAAUCUUACACAAACUUAAAUUUUUCUUUUGAUUUCUCCAUUAAAUUUACCGUUUAUAAACAAUCUUUAAGAAAGACAAAAAGAAUAAGUGAAAAAAGUAAUGAAAUACAAUGGAAAAAACAUAAUAAAAUACACCGGAGUGGUUUGGGUGAAAGUGAAGCCUAAUUUUUUGAAAAUCAUUUAGGAGGCAGAAUUCUGAAAGUCUCUCCAUGAAUGCCUUUCAGUUUACAUGUCAACUGAUACUCUGUCAGUCGAGACCUUCUUUCCAUUCUUGCAUUGGACGUGACUUUAAAAGAAUGAGGGUAAUGAAGAUUGGCAAUUUAUUUAUUUACAGAUAGUUAAUAGAGAAAAAAUUUAGUGGUACCAAUCAGUUACAAAUUAUAGAGGGUGAUGGUGGUAUAUGUGUUCAACGAUUCAAAAUAUAGAAUGUUUGGGUUAUUUUUUAGUCAAAAUCAGAAGUUAUAGCAGAAGUACGAAAUACCAUCCUAAUGCACAAGCCAUACCCACUCGGAUACGAGAGAGGUUGAUGGAACUAAUUAACUAACAAGCACUCCAGGGACAAAAUUGGCAUAAAGAUGAUGAAGCAAUCAAUAUAAGCAAAGAGAAUAUUAAACAUCAUCCAUGAAAGUAAUCACAAACAAAACCCAUAAACUUAUAUAUGAACAUUUAUGCUUUAUAAAGAAGUUAGAUGUACCUAAGUCCAAAUGGUCCUUGUAAACAGAUGUAGCAGCAGGAUUGACCUCCCUGGAUCCAGAACUCCCAGCAAGUUUCAGUCCCUGCCCCUGCUCCAGACCUGGCAAUCCAUUCCAGAUGCCACUCCAACUACCUGUAUGAGGCAAAGUGGCGAAGCUUGGAGUAGAGUCAUUGUUGGAUAACCCCUUGAAAAAAGGGAUAUUUGGAGGAGACAAUGCAUCAUAAAAUCCAGGGAAGGUAGUUGGGACAUAUGAUGGAUAGUAGGGUUUGGCAUCUGUAAAAUCACUAGCCAUGGCAUUGGAACGUUGAGUGCCAUAAGAGAAAACAUCUGUUGAAGCCGACACAUAUGGGCUCAUAGGAGGAGCAUGAGGUGGCGGAGUCCGAUGAGCAGCCGAGUAUCUAUAGCUAUUCGGGGGAACAGUAUCAAAUUCAGGAAAGGGAUUGGAAACCCGAGAACUCAUCCAGUUGCGCCGAGAUGAAUUCAAAGAUGGAUUAAAAGGGGGUACACCGUAACCUGCAAGUUUGAAUGAUAAGGGGUUCUGAACAGACCAAUCUACUGCAAAGAAAGGCGGAGCUAAAGGUGAUAAAUUAGAGGAAGACAAUGAGGAAGAACUUCCAUCACUUCCAUUUGCAUAAGGCACAAAAUCCAUCAUCUCAUUUCCCCUAAAAGUUCAUGAUACUAAAUUCAAUCAAUCGUUCGGAACCCAGAAAAAUUUAUAUCAUCUCUUUAUCUGGGUUAACUCUAAAAGUCCUAAUCGAAUACGAUAAUCGUGCUAAUAAAGAACGCUCAAUAACGGAGUUGAUCAAAUAGAAAGAAAUUAUAUAUAUAUAUAUAUAAAUAUAAAAGAUGUUCUUGAUAAUCGGGCUGGAUAAGAGAGAAUCAUAGAGGAGAAUCUUGAUUGUUAAGCAUACCAGAAGAGUGAUCCACAGUGACUCUACGACCUGCCAACCAACCCAAACAAACUCCUGAGAGAGUCGGUCUUCUCGGAUUUUCAGGUAUGUUUGAUUAUCAGAUGUUGAGAUAAAAGAUACUGGAUUGGGAUUUUUACUUCCAAUUAAAAAAAAAAAAUUAUAUUAUUUGCAAGUAUGCCCUUGUACUUAUGUUAAAUUGCUAGAAAAUGCUCGUGCUUUUUUUUUUUUUUUUAAAAAAAUAUAUUAAAAAUUUCUUAUUGUAUGUAUCUAAAAACUUGCGUAUAAAAUUUGAUCCCUUAGAUUCGGUUUAUUAUAAAAUUGUAAAAUAAAAUUAUUUUUUGAAAUAUUUUGUUUGAAAGAUAAUUCUUAUUUUUCGGAUUGAAUGAACAUGGAUCUUCAAUCAUUACAUUAUAUGGAUUUGAGAAUUCAAUUUUUAGAAGCUAAAUGAUGUUUUUUUUAUAUAUAUAAAAUAUAGUAUUAAAUUUUAUGUAAAUACAAACGAUAAUAUUCUACUCGUUAUUUUUGUAUAUAAGUAAAAUAUUGAAAUAUUAGUAAAAAAUAUAUAUAUUAUGUUGGUGAUAUAUUUGUAUCUUCUUUGAAUUUAUAAUUUUUUAUAAUGGUAUAAUAAUAUUAUUCAAUACGAAUUCAUCGAUGAUAGUGAGUUUAUGAAUAACAUAAAGUAAAUUUAAUUAUAUUAAGAAUUAAUUUAUUUUAUCAAAAAAUAAUUUGACACGUAAGUAAUUUUUUAUUAAAUUUAACAAAUCUUAAAAAAAAAUAAAAAAAUAAGUUAGAGUUAAGUACCAUUCGAAAAUAAUGCAGUCAGCAAUCAUGAUAUGACUGAAAAAUUUCUUCAUAAAAUUCUUAAUUAUCUGUCUCACUUUAUCAAAAUACUUUUUCUUUUUAUAACAGUUAUAUAUUAUUUUAUAUGUCAUUUCAUUUACUUAAUUAUGAAAAUAAACAUAAAUUUCAAUUCAAAUUUAAAAUUUCGAAUUUCAAAUUUCAAAUCAAAAUUUAUAUAAUAUAAAAAUAAUAAUUUAUUAUAAUUAUUAUCUCAUUUUAAAUACUAUUAACGAUAGAAACGAAGUCGAUAAAAAUAUAUUUAUUUUGAAUGAUUCUUUUUUAUUUGUUUAAAUUUUUAAAGUAAAUUUAAUAUAUUUGAUUAUAAUUAAAAAUGUAGAACAAAAAUAUUUCUAAAUUCUUACUUAAAACCAUAAAUCUAACCUUAACCCACUAAAAUUAGAAUUAUAAAUAUAAAAUUGGACAGUAUAUAUAUAUAUUUUUAUUUUGAAGUGAUUUCAUGGAGAAUAAAUUUUAUAAUCUAUUAAUUGCUUAAAAGCCAUAAAUGAAAAGAUAAGAAACAAAACUAUCUCAACCAUAACUACAGAAGAAAGAAAGCUCAUGUUACUUGUAGGGACAUUACACUCAGUACAUGAAAUCUCAAAGGUCCUUUUUUUACACCACAUACUAUUCCAGUCUAUAUACUUAUAACACAAAUUCAAGAAGAACCCAGAUUUCUUUUCUUCUAUUUGUCUAUAAACCAAUGAAAAUAUUGAAAUACCCAGAAAGAGAAAGUCCACCUUCUAACAUAAACAUCAUCCAAGAAAAAAGAGAAAAAGUAGGUGAACGGUGUGGAGGAAGAUGGUAAGUUCGAUAUGUAUCAGAAAUAAACAAUGAAAGAAGAGCGAUCGGAAGGAGGAGGUCGAGAAAAAAUGGGCGGAGAAGAAGCAGCAAAACGAAGAAGAUGAGUUCUGUCCCGGCGUCUUUGAGAUGCUAGAAAUCUUUGCGUAACUCUUGCAAGAGCCGCCGUGUAUUCUUCCAGUAGCUCCGCCAUGACCGUCACCCUUAUCAUACUUUCUUCAGUUGCCUUCGCCGGUUAAUCUUUACUGAGAUGCGGGUGUAUACAUAUAUACACGUACAUGUGUAUGAAUAUGUGUAUGAAUAUGUGUAUGUAUAUGUAUAUGUAAGGGGGAAAUGUUGGUGAGGGGGAUUGCGUGUUGUGGGCGAAGGAAAUGCAGCCAAAUUUAUAAGCAUUCACCAUCUUAAUCUCAUCCAUACACACCUGACUUUUUGGGAAAUAUUCACCCCUCUCAAUUAUUAUUAUUAUUAUUUUUAAUUAUCUUUCUACCA